AUCUUGCAAACCUUUGGGAAGCAUGAAAAGUAAUUGAACAGACAGUCGGAAAACACAAAGAUGCUUCAGAAAAUGGGGAGUUUGACAAGCUGUCUUCCGGUAAUAAAGGAAAAGUUGUCACGAACUGAAUAAAAUAACCUACAUAUAAACCAAGGCUGUCAACAACUGCAUAGUGCUGCAUUAAGAAUUCAAAUGAAGCAUCCAAAUAAGGACAGUGGUUACUCUGGGAACCACCGGAAGCUAGAAAAUAGCUGAAAGUUUAAUUUCAUAAUAAAGUAGUAAUCAGACGUCUAAUGACCAUUUGCACACGAAAUCCAAGAAGGUGGAAGACCAAUAAUACGACUAUAAUAUUGAUUCUACAAGGUAGCCGUUUUCCAAAUUUCAUUGGAAACUUAAGAGCAUGGUAAGUUGGAAGCAGCAACAAAAGCUCACAGCAUAGAGCAGUGAAAAGCAUGGAAUCUGAUAUCAUGCGCAGGUAAAUUGUGAUAAAGUUUGAAAAUAAAUAAAUAAAAAAGAUUGCCAUUGGUAUCAUCCACUGACCACUGAAGAUGUAAACGAAAAACUCUGUUACUGCAAUACAAAGCAUGAGAACCAGACAAGCAAAGCUAAGAGGAAGAAACGUUGAGGGAAUGAAGAGAUCGAGAAGCCAUCCCUCUUUUUUAAUAUAGCAGCGGCUCGUUUCAAAAAAAAAAAGAGAUCGAGAAGCGAAUCCAAAACAAUGAUGAAGUGAAAUACUACCCAAAGCCAGUGCAGAUAAUCAAAAAUGAAAGGAAAUCGAGAGAAGAGAAGCUAGUUGGGAAGCUGCUGGCGUGCCGAAGCCAAAGCCAAAGGCAAAGCCUCGUGCCGAAGCUGGUGUCGGUUUGUCGAGGAGGACGUACGUGACCUCAGUGGAAGAAGAGAAGCUCUAGUUGGGAUUGAGAACGAAGAGAAGUUACAUGAUGAUACGCAUACCACAACGAAGAAGCCGGCCGGCCUGUAGGUUGAUCGCCCCUGUUGAUGAUUAGAAUGGACUCAGUUUCAUGGACCUCCUGCCACUUGAAUGGUUGCCGCCGGCCAUGGCCAUGGCGACGGACGGGGAGAGGAGGCGUGCUUGCCAAAUGGAGAGGAUGCGGCUUGAAUGCAAAACUGGAAAGAAAGAAGGAAACGGUCGUCUGAAAGGGUAACAAGUGGUUAAAAAAGGAAACCGCCGGCUCUGCUGGGAGGCAAGAAGCGAUGGCGAUGUCGUCGUGGUUCGUGCCUCUGCCUGCCGGGGACGACGACGGGGAUGGAGGAGGUUGACAUGACGAGGAGAAGGCCGGGAGACGACGUGGGGCACGGUGGUUGGUGCCUCCGCCGCCUACGCCUGCUGCCUCGGUCAAACCCAAACAGGUCUCGCUAGCUCCUUGUCUCCUGCGGCGUCUGCAUGCAACGGCAGGCAGGCAGGUAGCUGCUUCGUGCACGCCAACACGGAGUAGUAGACCCAUCACAUCGGAUGUUUGUAUACUAAUUAGGAGUAUUAAAUAUAGACUAUUUACAAAACCUAUUGCAUAUAUAGAGUCUAAUUCGCAAGAUGAAUCUAUUAAGCCUAAUUAGUCCAUGAUUUGAUAAUAUGCUGCUGCAGUAAACAUGUGCUAAUUAUGGAUUAAUUAGGCUCAAUAGAUUCGUCUCGCGAAUUAUUAUAGGGGUUCUGCAAUUAGUUUUAUAAUUAGCUCAUGUUUAGUCCUUCUAAUUAGCAUCCAAACAUCCGAUGUGACACUCCUAAAGUUUAGCACCUCGUAUCCAAACACCCCUCAAUUGAAUUCCUUUCAAAUAAAAAAAGAUUGAAUUGAAUUGAAUUGAAUUGAGUCUCCAAGUAAGGUGGUAGCAUGCUGGUGAUGAUCUUGGACGACCACCUCCUGACGGCCCAGGGCUACUAGUUUAACUUGCUUUGACUUCCAGCUUGUUGGUCUCUCUCAAGUCCAAGAUGGAUUAGCGAUAUGGAUUAGCUUUUUCUUAGUGCAAAUCUAUGGGGACGGCCUUAACCCACCGAUCAAAUUUAAGAAAAAUUUAACAAAAUUCUAAAGACUACUAGUAACGAUCGAUCGCUCAUUGAAAAGACAACUCGGUUUCAUGGUGAUUAGAAUGGAAAAUAUGAUGCAUAAUAGAAAAUAUCAAAGCCUUACUCUCUUUAGGAUUUAGAUAGUUCAAUAUAUCUUUCUUUCUUUCUUGAGGAAAAGAUCAAUAUGUCUUGCACUAUGGGAAUAAAAGAACAACUAUGAACCAUAUCACACUCGUUCAAUAUCAGUUCAGGAUAUCCUCAGUGGCAUGGACAAAAAGGAGAAAAAUGGAGACCAACAAUACCUGCUGCUGUAUCUUGGGCUACUGCUGUAUCUCUUCCUGUUUCAGGACACAAAGCUAGCGUCCUAGCUACCUGUUCCGUGGAUUAGUAUGCUGCACCUAUUAACCUUUUUUUACUCCUUGUAGACACGCUCUCUACUUUAGUUCCCACCUGUAAUGUAGCACUUAGUAGGGACAAGGAACCGAGAACAAAAAGGCAUCAACUUAGUUCUUCACACUCAUUCACCCACUUGUACAUGUACCAAAAACUAGGAACAUGAAAAUGUAGCCCUUCCUUUCUACCUGUAAUAAUGCACUCUGUGGAAUGUUAUUAGUCAAUUGGGAAUAUCGUACGAGCAUGGGACGUGGAGAUCCUGGCUCUCCAGUACUAGCACAAACUGACCUGACAGAUGCCAAAAAUGAUUCUUUUGCAAUAGACAGCCUGACUGGUUGACAUGGUUAGAUAUAUGCCUGUCCGGUACAUCUAGACGUUGUGGUUAACCAACGGCGGGAACUGCUUGUAGAUGGCUUUGCCGGGAAACAAAAUAUCGUACAUGUUAAAUCCUGAUUCAGAACUAACAAAUUUUAUAGCAGCAUAGAUAUGUAGAAUGUGUAGAAAAUUGGCUGUCGCUGCGACAAUUGUGGCAAUUUUAAUCCAUUGCAGCUAAUAUCAGUUCCAGGAACACCCAAUAUGGCGGCAAAUGUUGGGGAAUCGACAAGCGGCAGCAGCAGUGCAUGGUGCUGAUGCCGGGGGAGCUUCGAGUGCAGCAUAUGCUUUGAGCUGCCACAGGAGCCUAUUGUAACGCUCCGUGGCCACCUCUUCUGCUGGCCAUGCCUUUACAAAUGGCUGCGCAUCCACUCGCACUCGCCAGAAUGCCCAGUGUGCGAGGCUGUUGUUGAGGAGGAUAAGCUCGUCCCCCUGUAUGGCCGUGGCAAGGACCGUGUCGACCCAAGGUCAAAGAAUGUCCCAGGGGCUGACAUUCCCAACCGGCCAGCUGGGCAGAGGCCUGCAACUGCUCCACAGGCUGACCCUAACAACCACUUCCCCAACGCCAACCAGAACCCGUGGUUCAUGGGCGGAGGCAUCCCGCUGGCCAAUGCACGGUGGGGGAACUACACGUUCCCAGCUGCGUUCGGGGGUCUGUUCCCGCUGCUCAGCUUCCAGGUGCAUGGGUUCCCCGAUGCAACAGCUUAUGGUCAGCCGGCUGGGUUCCCUUACGGGUAUGGGCACCGCCGGAACAUCCCUGGUUUGCUGCAAGGAAGAAGCAGCCCUGUAGAAGCACCUUUUGCCGCGGACUGACGCGGCGAUCGCAUAUGCUUGGUGUGUAAAAAAAAUCCGAGAAGACAAUCGAGGAGCAACAGUGGACAGAAUGGUUCAAAGCAUGAUAUCGUAGACUCCUAAAUCCACGAGCUAAUAAUAAAUAAAGGAGACGAUGCAUGACUGCUAAUCGAUCGAUUAGCUAACGUGGUGACGAAGGGUCAAGGACCUGGCCGGCGAAAAGAACCACACGGCUACGGUCCUCCUUGAUGAAGAAUAGGAAGGGGUGAUCAGCGACGAAGUCGACAACAGGCUCAGGACCGCCCAUGCCAAAGCCCAAAAUCUCUAGCUCGGUGGCUGCUGCAGCGACGGUGCCUCUCUCGUUAACGCGGACGGAGCACUGCUGGAUGAUCGAGGGAACAGCCAUCGGUGGCAGCAUAUCCUCAUCAUCGGCUUCGGCCAGCGCCACCAUCUCGGAGAAGGAGUGGCCGGCGGGACGGAACAGCGUCAGAUCCAGACCAAGGUCUGCAAGGAGACGGGAGACGUCCGCUUGCAGCGAGACGUCGAAUUUUGGGAUCUGCAACUCGCCGACGAGGACCUUCCGAUCGGGCACGACCUUUCCGUGAAGGAGAGCAACCGGGUUGGAGCUGAGCUCGCGCACCAGGUCCGGCAGGCCGUCGCGGUCGUCGGGGAGGUAGAUGUACAUGGAGAAGCUCUGCUCCCAUUUGCCGUUGAUGUAGGCUAUCCGCAGGACCUUGAAGCCGGGGUGGCAGCCGAUCUGCAUCCACUCGUGGAGGUAGUUUCCUUCCAUGAAGGGCACGGUGACCUCGUGGCCGGGUGAGACGUAGAAAAUUCCGUCCCGCGUCAUCUCCGGAAAGAAGGGGUCGUACCAGUAGCCUCGGAAGUAGAGGGCGUUGGCGAGGACCAGCAGCGUCGAGGCGCUGAUGUAGCUCUCCGGGAGGAGGCCUUGGAAGUGGCCGCCGGUCUUGCUCUUGAACCACUCGUUGAUCUCUGCUCUAGCCUGCGCAGGCUGAUCGAUAUGCGUGCAAGCAAAGCAAUAAGCAUGCAGCAGAUGGAGGAUCCCAAACGGAUCGGAACGACACUGAUCGAACAACGUACCGUGUUUCUGAAGGAGAUGGCUCGCGCCUCUGCAUUGUACUUGGAGGCGGCCACGGUCGCAAAAGCGGGCUUCAGGACAAGGAGGAGUCCACCCAGACUCCCAUGGCGCACCAGACCCCGGGCGGUGGCGUAGGCGCCUCCUCCUCGUCGUCCUCCUCGACCCAGUCGAUGUUUUCGUGGGUGGCGAGGACAUAGGAGGCCACCUUGGAGGCGAGGGCCUCAUGCGCGUCCGCGCCGGCGGGGCCGAGGAAGGAGACGAUCUGGUCGCGCGCGGCGCCCGUGGCCCCGGCAGCGAGGAGGGAGAGGAUGGCGUGGAAGGACAUGGGCGAGAAGGCCAUGUUGGUGGUCUGGAGCUUGUUGGGCGCCGUUGUCUCUUCUUGGUGGUGGCCGCCGAGGUGGCGGACGAGCUGCAUGGAGAAUGCAGCGAGGUCUCGCGCUGCAGCGGCGAGCUGGUCGUCCUCCAUGUUCUGUAGCUGCUGGUGCGGACUUAUUGCUGGUUACGGAUGGAUCAUGGAUCCCAAGCAAGCAAAAUAUAAGGGCUGCUAGGCACAAAGAACGUGGGGUUCGGUUAGGAUACGCACCAAGACUGGACUUGAGGCCGCCGUUUAAAUAGAAGAUCCCUUUGGCACCAAGUCCAGUCUGUUGCACCAUCGAAUUGUGCUUCGGCCUAGAGAGAGAAAGAGAGAGAGCCCUGAGUCGACAAGUAAACUCUGUACACGAUUGAAUUGGAUUAGAGACGAAGAGAGAAGGGACCUGCAGACGACAGAUACCAUGCAUGGACCUGCAGUUGAUCUCGCACUCUCAUGGUCGUUGCAAUACAGUAUAUACAAAUAAUAAUCCAUCCAUUAUUCCCUUGUCCGUCUCGUCCACAAAAAUCUUCACCAGGAUAAGAUCCCGUCACGAAUUAUACAGAUUUCUUUAUUUAUUCCAGUUGCUUGUCUCGUUGCAAUGAAUUUCAGAAAGUGGCUUAACGAGAUAAGCAUUAUAGUGCACCACAGACAGAGUGUUGAGUUCAGCAUCAGGGCAUCAUGCAGUCGUCGGCGGAGCCAAGCAGGGGACGAAGUCAUCCAUGGAUUGGGAGCUGUCGGUCCGGAGACGACGGCUUGGUGCCAUCUGCAGUUGUCUGCCGACACGACGCCUGACGGCCUGUUUCCUGACCCCCCGGGCUGGGCCAUGAUGAUUAUAUCCAAGACAAGACGUUUGAGGAAUCCCUGUGCCAAUCCUUCCAUGCAGGAAGCAAUUGGCACGUCCACGUCCAGUAGUCAUCAGCGACGGUGACAUCGGUCAGAGCCGGAGUCGGAGCUGGAGUGGUCCGCCGGCUGUCGUCGAGGUGACGGGGCAUCCCAAAGACGAGUUGCUCUGGGAGGGCCGUAUCGUAUGGGCAUCCUCUGCAGAAGGGCCUCCCUUGCUCCUCGCCAGCUUGGGAAGCGGCAUGUCGCAGAACAGGAUGCCCCUCGAUCCAGAGGCGACCCAGGCGGCGGUGGUCGGUCCGAGCGUGACGACCUUGGUGGUGAGUCCGGGAUGGGGUCUCUCUCCGGUGCGGUGCCUGAACGUGAACGGGAAACACAACAGAGUGCAGGUCCAGCGGUGUACGUCGGAGUCGUAGCGCUGGAGCCUCAACUCCAAGAGGCCGAGGGUGUUUGUUCCCGAGGACGGCGACGACGUAGCGGGAGCCGGCCGGAUGAGCAGCUGAAGGGAGCUAUUGCUAUACGAGGAGCGUUGGAGACAGCGACGGCGGAGAUGCAUGUAGGCUGUGCCAUCGAGGAGGAUCCAGCUCGGGCUCACGCUGCCUCCCUCCUCGGUUGGGGACCAAGUCAUGCAUGUAUUCGGAAGUCACGGCGUCGAUCAUCGGUCCAUCAGUUUGCCGCGUCUGCACUCUGCAGCAGUGGGCCGAAAAAUGUUACCCUCCUCAUCGCCCUGAGGAGAUUCAUCGGCUAGGCCUGCCUUCCUCAGUUUCCCUGUACGACCUUUGAAGCCCAUCUCCCCCGACCCCCAAAUUGAGAGAGCCACAUCUCCCCCGGCCCAAUUGAGCCACAUUAGUGGAUUUUUUUAUUUUUAUAUCUUUUUAAAAAUAAAUACUUAAUGAAAAAAUUUGCAAAUCUAGACCUACGUUGCCCGAUCAACAGGUGAUAAAAGUUCUUACCACCAUUUCAACACGCGGUAAGAGCCUUACCGCUCGAUAUCUGGGCAGUAAGGCCCUGGCCCAACUUAUCGCCUCGAGCACAGGGCCAUUACCGCCCUAUAAUUAGGUGGUAAAGUCGAUAUCUGGGCAGUAAGGCCCUGGUCCAACUUAUCGCCUCGAGCACAGGGCCAUUACCGCCCUAUAAUUAGGUGGUAAAGUCUCGUGUUCAUUUUUUGAGCGAUUUUAUGACUGUUUUUUUGAUAGUUUCAACAUAUAUUUUUCAAAAUGGCCAUAUCCAGUUGGUAGAACAAUAUGUGUACCCUAAGUUCGGUAUUGAGAUUCUAUGAUGUUUGUAUUAAUAUUUUGUAACUAACUGCACCCACGUUAUUGCACUCAAUAAUUUGAGUUGAAACGUAUAUUUCAGUUACAAUUUUGGUGGCGUUUUUGAAAUACCUAUGUCCUGAUUAUUCGACUUGGCUCUACUGAGUUACCACCGCUUGAGUGUGUUGGUAAGUUACGAUCUUCAUUGAAAAGUUGUUUAUUCAAUAUUGAUUGUAAAAACUUUUGUUUCCUUGAGAAAUAAAUAUGAUACUCUUAAUAUACUCUCGGGUGAAGUAAUACAUCUGUAUCUUCUGUGCACUUGCAGAACCAUCAUAAUAUAUCUGAGCAUAGAAAUACCAACACAAGGCUUCUAAAAGAUCCUGGAGAUCGCAAACAUAUUCUAGUCGGUUUAGAUAAGAGAGUAAUCUCAUUGUUGUAAUCAUAACCAACAUCAUCAUAAGUCCCGUGUAACUUCUUAGAGAUUAGAUCCGCUAUCCUGUAGGGACCUCCAAAACAUGCUCUCUACGCAAUCUCAUAUACCAGCAAUACAAUCCACAAAAAUAUAUGAUGUAGGAUAUUACGUUAUCAUCUAGCAGCCCACAACUAUCUAAGAUCGGGGGCUUUACGCUGUUGUGUUACCAUCGGGCUCUUCAUUCCCCCUAUUGAAAAAUCUACCUCCUUGGGUCAUCACCUAGAGGGUUAUGUGGUACAAACACCGACAGUGGAAAUCUCAUUUAAUCUGUUCAGUCAAAACCGUCUGAAAAACCUAAUGCUGCAAACGAAUGGCUUUUGUCGGCUGGAAUCUCAUUUAAUCUGCGCAGUCAGGUCAGUCUGAAAAACCUACCAUUACGAACGGUCGGCUUUUGUUGUCAGAAAUCACAUUUAAUCCGUGGAGACAAAUUGGUAUAAGGCGUUACAGAUUAGCGAAUCUUAUUUUUUUUAUAUUUAAAUUAGUGACAUAUAAAAACAUGAAUAAGUCUUAUAUUAAUAAAAUAUUAAUAGAUCUUAAAAAAACACAUUAUAUAAAGUACAACAUCAUAGAUAAAGUCUUAUAACACUAACCCCAGCACGCUUCAUGAGGUAGGAAACUUGAUUUAUAUCGAUAAUUUCAACUUUUAGAAAUUUGUCAACAUAAUCUAGUGCAUAUAUGAAUGCACUGUCUUUUGCCUUGUAGGGUGCAUCCAAAUUCUCUCCAAAUAUUUUCACCAAAUUAAUGGAUGAUGUUAAGGUUAUAUCAGCUUGAAAACCACCUUGUACUCGAUACAAAUAGGAAUAAGUAAACACCCCACACGUAUUGGGUCUAGAUGCUCCUCAAUCUCCUAUUUUUUUGGUGAUUGUGAACACAACCUCAAAGAUGAUAUAAGAGAUAAAAGAGUGAGGUAAUGAUACUUGACAUACGUGAACUUGAUGUCAAUAAGAGCAAAGGGCUAAUCAGGUUUACGUGAAUCGAGUCCAACAACACGUAUGAGAAGUAAUAUAAGUUAAAAAGCACAUACACAAGAGACACAUGAUAUGAUGUUAAAGUGAAAUAAAGCGCACAUGUCACCAAACCAAGUAGCACGACAUAUCAUACAUAUCAACAUAUCAUACAAUGCAUAAUAGAAAAUAUGAUGCAUGAGCGAUCGAUCGUUAAUAGUAGUCUUUAGAAUUUUGUUAAAUUUUUCUUAAAUUUGAUCGGUGGCUUAAGGCCAUCCCUAUAGAUUUUUGCACUAAGAAAAAGCUUUUUAUUGGAGUUCUUUGAUUGAGCGGUAGCAAAACUAAGCAUGCCCAUCGUGAAAAUAUCAUACAAUGCAUAAUAGAAAAUAUGAUGCAUAAUAGAAAAUAUCAAAGCCUUACUCUCUUUAGGAUUUAGAUAGUUCAAUAUAUCUUUGUUUCUUUCUUUCUUGAGGAAAAGAUCAAUAUGUCUUGCACUAUGGGGAUAAAAGAACAACUAUGAACCAUAUCACACUUGUUCAAUAUCAGUUCAGGAUAUCCUCAGUGGCAUGGACAAAAGGAGAAAAAUGGAGACCAACAAUACCUGCUGCUGUAUCUUGGGCUACUGAGCUCAUGCACGACUUGUCAGUGUCAUGGGCAUUUCAUUGAGCUCCUCCAGCACGUCUCACAGUGUCAUGGGCAUUUCAUCGAGCUCCUCCAGCACGUCUCACAGUGUCAUGGGCAUUUCAUCGAGCUCCUCCAGACACUGUGAAGCUAGUGCGUUGGUUUUAUCCAUAUCGUUUAGUCUAAGGGGUAUGUACCAGAUCGUGUUCUCAUAAUCUGGGAUGUAAUAAAUAAAUUUGUAUUGUUAUUGUUGUAUGGAUGUGAUAUUUAUGCUGAAAUAAGUUCUGUAUAUGAUAGCUACUGAUCCAGUAAUUAUCACAAAGAUACAGAGAAUCGGGUCUUUAGAAAUGAAAACCCGGUUCGUUUCAAUGUCACUACCACUUUGCCUUCACUGCCUGCAAGGUGUUGGCAAAAUGUCCAUUGCCUGCAAUAAUUUAGUCUCUGUUGCAUCUACUGCUUAACUGUUUGACUAAAAUUGUCGCUACGAUGUACUCUUUCAGCUUAUCAUGAUUACAAUACAUAUGCAUUAUUGUAAAGAGGGGGCUAAACAACAUAAGCCCAAGUAGUCAUUACACCGUAUAAAUAAAUGAUUUCUGCGACCAGUUACAUAGGGAUGUUUUUUAAUCAAACAUAAAAAUAUGAUAGAACCGACCAUUUAUGUAAGACAUAAAAACAUAACUGAACGGACCCUCUAUAAAUCAUUUGUAUCCUAUCGUCGCUGGCCACAGCUUGCUGUAGUAAAAUUCAAACUUUAGAUCUGAACUUUGUAUAAAAAAGUUUUAAAACCACAAAUUUGUAGAUCUCGUCGAAAUCUACAAUUUUCAUAUAAAUUUUAUCUCCAUCCGAUUUUAUAUAAAAAGUUAUAAUUUUUUAAUAUGCACUGCGUAGAGAAGGGACAUACUGCCAAUUCAAUUGGUUUCAAAUGACUAUAUAGGUGUAGAUUUGCAAUUUUUUUAUUUGAACAUAUAUUUCUGUAAAAUACUAAAAUAAAAAAAUUCAAGAGCAACAAAUGAACCAGUCUCGUCAACACGAUGAAGAUGCUCACUUUGAAACGCGCAGCCAGGACCUAGCAGGGCGGCCCAACAUGAGAGAUUUGGAGUGGGCUAUUUUACUUAUUUGGGGAUCAAAUGUACGUACACAUACUAAUCUAAAUAUAAGUACUUAUAUGUAUAUGCAUACUCACACCAUAGGUACACCCACCCAUGUGGUAUGUACUGGGUCCGCUUUGCAGCCACCGCUAGCACAAGGUGGCGAGGAUGAUCAGAGAUUAAUUAUAUGCAGCUGCUUCAAUUCUUAUCACCGCCGCCAGGGCCGGCCGGCCGACUUUUUUUUUAUUUUAGCCCUUUUCGUGAAUUUUUUUCACAAAUAGGCUCCUAGCGGAACUAAUUCCAAAAAUGAACCCUUAGUUUGACGUGCUAGCGCCAAGCUACAACAUCUUGGCGCCAGCCUCUAUGACGCUAAGGUCUUGGCUGUCGCCGCUGACCGGGCAGCUGACGUGGCGGAGGCUUGGCGUCAGGAUCUAUGGUGCCAAUCCUUGGCGCCAUAGAUCUCGGCGCCAAGCCUUGGCGCCAGGCAGCCUGACGCCAAGCCUCCUACAUAAGCUUCCCUUUCUUCCUGGCCGAACCUUCCUCCUCCUCUUUCUCCUCCCUCUCGAGUUUUUACUCUUCCCACUUCGCCCUAUACUACGAAUCGGCAUUUUAGCUUAGGAAAUUUUCUUUUGAUCUGUGGAUCUGGAAGAGCAAGGUAUCCUCUCUCCCUCGUAGCUUUUUUUCACAUCGAUUCGCUAUAUAUUAGUUGCAUUUUUUAACUUAGGGUUUCAUGCAACUGUAGGAUGCUGAGGCAUGGAAAAGCUAGGAAACCAAGGUAACCCCAGCGCACGUAGUUAUGUUAUGUGCUCAUUGUUGUGGAUCAAAUGAAAAACCUUAAUUGUAGGUUUAUUAUUAAGUACGUUCGGUUCUUACAACGAAAUAAACUAAAUUGUAGUUAUCGUGCCAAGCUGACCGGAAAUGUCUUCGAUCCAUUGCCUGUGCCUAGUGGUGUUCCAGUGCCUAUGUGCUUUUGCGGCGAUCUUUGUAAGGUAGCCAAGUCCGAUGAACAUGACACGUAUAAGCAGAGGUAUUGGAUGUAUUCCAACUUUGCGUUUGAACCUAAACUUCAUCAGCGCCGCAUUAACAAGUUGGUAAGAAAUUGUUGCUGUCUUAUAAUUAUUGUCCAUAUUUUUUUUGUUUUCUAACAAUUGCAUUUGUUGUAGACCCCUCCACCGUUAUGUGAUUUUGAGCAGUGGAUCGAUACUGAGAUCAAUUCUGAAGACAAGGAGAUGAUGAAUGUUGCGCUGGGAUGCAGAGAGGAAGGGGAUGAUGGAGAAGAGGCUCAGAGAGGAGGCUGCAGAAAAAGAGCACAAGGAAGAGGAGGAAAGGAGGCAUGUUGCUGCGAACAGGGAGAAGAGGGAGAAGAAGCUUGAGCGUGCACGCCGAGCGAAAGCAGCGAUUGAGGAGGAUCUCGAUGCCUUGAGGAAGGGAAAGUGGCCUCGUUGCACUCAGUAGUUAUAAUUAGUUUCUAGUUCUAUGGUUUAUUUAUGAACAAUAUUUUCUACUGGGAGACUUUUAUUAUGUUGUCAUAUAAUGAUGCACUUUAAGUAUGGGCAUGCAAGUGGUAGACGAUCUAUAUUUAUUUUGCAACGUAAUGCACUUCGAAGUUGUACUCUAUGGUGAAAUUUCCGUAGAAAAUGAAAAGGGUACUUGUUAGUGAAAUUUCGGCAGAAUUUUUCUUACUUUUUAAUGCAAUCCAUACAAAAUUAUAAGAUGAAUAGUUAACAUAAAUAAAAACGUACAAGCAUAUGGCACACUCAUAAUAAAAUCCACAAUAGUUCACAACGAAAGUCCAUAUACACAAAUAGUCCAUAUACCAUAAAGUCCAUAUAUCACAAAGUUCGCAAUAAGUACCCUCACUGCCUCCAGUCUUACCCUUACCCUUGUGACCAAGGGCGUCGGUGCCUGGAGUGUAAGGAGAACGUGGGUGACGUAUUCUAGUGCCUGCAACCUGUCUAGGCUGAGUCAAGGGAGCAUCGUGGAGCUGAGACGGGCCAAGCUCCUCGGGCCUCUGGUCAUCGUCGUCGUCAUCGUCCUCAUCCUCGAACGCAAUUGCUUUUGAUCCUGAUGGGCCUUGCCUAGACGAACCAACGCCUCCUUCGCGUGGGGAUGGAACGUGCACGUCUAGCGUCGUGGCAGUUCUGCAACCACAACGAGCAGCCGCACGGCGAAGCCGACUUGACAGUCGAUGUUGUGAAAAAACUAGUUAAAUGAAAGAAUGUAACGUAGGCGGGCGCCGGGCGGGGGUCGGGCGGCCUCCGACCGGGGAGGGCAUGGGCGUCGGGCGGGGGGCCACCGGCGGGGGCGGCCGCGAGCGCCCGAGCGGGGGGCGGGCGUGGGGGCAGGCGGCGGCGCACUGCGACGGUGCCGGCAGCGGCGGCGGCAGGAUCCGCCGGCAGCGGCGGCGCAGGUUUGAACGAAGAUGAAAAAAGAAAGGGACGCGCAAAAGAAAGGGACGGGUGGCGUUGUGGUAAAAGGCUUGGCGUCAGGGAGGCCGGUGCCAAGCCUUGGCGUCAAGAUCGGUGGCGCCAAGCCUUGGCACCAGCCACACCACCUGCUCGCCAUGUAAGCCUCGCCACGUCACGUGGCCACAUCAUGAUGGGGACCUUGGCACCAUGGAGGCUGGCGCCAAGACGUUGUAGCAUCUUGACGCCAAGCUAAGGAUCCAUUUUUAAAAUUUGUUCUGCCAGGAGUCUAUUUGUGAAAAAAUUUCGCGAAAAGAGCUAAAAUAAAAAAAAGACGGGCCGGCCGGCCGAGAGGAUCCAAACAUCCCUCAUAAGGACCGGCUGGAGUCUUAUCUCGUGCGCCCAACCACCCCAUUCUUAUCCAGCGUCCACUCUCCAGAUCUCCAGUUCCGUUCAUCGCCGGCUUCCGGCCGUCGCUGCCGGUCUCUCCACUGAGUGCUGCUGUCCGUGGAGGAGGAUUAGGAAGACGGCCAUGGAGGCACUGCAAUCGAUUCUCUCGGUCGGGUCCAACUUGUUCGAAGAGAUCCAACUGAGCAACGAGCUGCAGCGCCUCCGAGACACCUUGCCCAAGGCUCGCGUGCUCAUCUGUCGCAGCGAGUGGGGCAUGUUCAAGGACAAGGAGCUGGCGAAGCUUGUCUCGCGUCUCAAGGACACCACGUACGAUGCAGAGGAUCUUCUCCGCGAGCUGGAUGACCAGGUGUUGCGGAAAAGAAUAGAGGACGCUGACCGGAGCAGAGCAGGUCAACUCUUAUCUUCCUCUCUUAAUCUUGCAAUAACUUUGUUCCGCCGUAGCAAAACAAGGAUAAGGGAGACACAAGAUAGGCUUGAAAAGGUUGUGGCUGAGAUCGAGGGGAUGCUCAAUCUUAUGGGUCUUAUGAGUGUUGAGCCAUCGCAGAUCAUGCCGGAGACAAGUUCGGUCAUCAGCGCUCCGGAAGUUGUUGGUCGUGAUGGUGAACGAGACGCUUUGAUCGAGAUGCUUGGUGUGAUGAUUGGGCGUGAGGUCCCACGGGAUCAGGUGAUCAAACUAUUGGGAGUGCCACUCACUGGGAACAGAGGUGGUACUGGUAGAACUGCAGGGUCUAAUGGGAAGAGAGCAGCAGCAAGCAAUGGUAAUGCAUCUACAUCCAGAGCCAAGAAACCAAAAGGAAACGGUGGCAGGGCUGGACUUGCUGAAACUAACUUCACCAACAAUGUUUCUGUCAUCUCCAUUGUCGGCAUUGGCGGGGUGGGGAAGACUACCCUGGCUCAGUUCAUCUACAAUGACCCCAGGGUGAGACGCCACUUUGGUGACAGGAUGAUAUGGGUAUGUGUCUCAGACUUGUUUGACAAGAUAAGGAUAACAAAGGAGAUCAUUGUAUCCAUCCCUGGUGAGGAAUAAAACUCAUCGAGCAGUCUAAAUGCUCUUCAAAUUGAAUUGAUGAAGCGGCUGAAGACGUGCUCAAAAUUCCUUUUGGUGUUGGAUGACAUUUGGCCGAACGCUAAUGCUGAUUGGGAGGCGUUUUAUGCACCAUUGAAGUAUGGUCCUGAAGGCAGCAUGAUCUUAGUGACUACAAGAUCUCCAGUGGUUGCUACUCGUGUCACCACAGGCAACUGUAAGCCUAUCCAACUUGAAGGAUUGCCUACUGAUAUAUUUUGGGACUUCUUCAAAAAGUGUGCAUUUGGUAGAAAUGACCCAGAGUCAUAUUCUCAAUUGCAAGAUAUUGCUCGGAGCAUUUCUACUAGGUUGUGUGGGUCGCCUUUGGCAGCAAAAACACUGGGACGCUUGUUGAAUAUGAGCCUGACAGAACAACACUGGAGGGCUAUCCAGAAGAGUGAACUGUGGGAGCUACCGCAUGAAAAGAAUGAGAUAUUACCAGCCCUUCAACUGAGCUAUUUGUAUCUCCCAGAAGCGGUUAAGAGAUGUUUUGUAUUUUGCUCCAUGUUUCCAAAAGAUUAUAGCUUUGAAAGAGAUGAGAUAGUUGACAUUUGGGUGGCACAGGGCUUUGUGGCGCUAGGGGGAAGCAUACGUCCUGAAGAUGUGGGGAUCACUUACUUGGAUGAAUUGAGGAACAGAUUUCUUUUCCAAACUGAUCCGAUGUUCCCGAAUAAAACAAGAUACGUAAUGCACAAUCUGAUCCAUGAUACGGCAGCGUCCUUUUCUAUGGAUGAAUGUUUGGUGAUGCAUGAUUUAAGAAACCAGAACAAGAGCAGAAUGCAUAACACAGUUCGUCACAUGUCAAUCGAGGUGGAUGGUGAAUCCUUGACCAGAAUGGGAGACAUUCAACAUUUGAAUAAAUUGCACUCACUUAGGUUUGGAAUCAGAUUUAAUGUUGAAAUAACCUGGUUUAAUCAACUUUCCAACAUUCUAUUUUUGAGCCUAAAAGGUUGCAAGCUGGUAAAGCUACCCGAUAGCAUAUGUGAGUUGAAUAGUCUUCGUUAUCUUGAUAUAUCUCAUAGCAAUGUGCAAGAAUUACCCGGGAAACUCUGGUGCCUCUACAGCCUACAAGUUCUUGAUGCAAGUCGUUCAAGUCUGAAAAAAAUCCAUGAGGACGUAACAAAGCUAAUCAACUUGCGUCAGCUAGCACUGCCAUCGAGAGCUUCUCUCGCCUUGUCAGUGGUAACUGGGCUUGGAAAUCUAUCUUGUCUACGAAACUUGAGCGAUUUUAGAGUUUCAAAACAGAACGGGCGGGGAAUUGGUGAGCUGAAGUUCAUGAAUCAGCUCAGUGGAAAGCUUUCUAUCAGAUCUCUUUGUAGUGUUGGGAGCGAGGAAGAGGCUCUUGAGGCUAGACUUGUUGAAAAGCAAUACCUCAAGGAACUUGUUCUAGAUUUUCGACAGUCUUAUGCUAGUUUGUUGUGCAGUGAGAAUGGAGUGCUUGAAGGCUUGCGUCCUCAUUCAAGAAUUGAAUUCCUUAAAGUCAUUGGCUUUUGUGGUGAUAGGUUUCCAAGCUGGUUUAAGCCAGAAGAUCUAUCAACUUUAAUAACCCUGGAUCUUUCCAAUUUCUUUUACAUGGAAAGUUUACCAAUCCCCUGCUUUGCUGACGGAACACAAGUUGGUUUAAGGGGUGAUGAUGGAACGCAGCAUGCAGCCGGCAGCAUCAGUCGCAGCAAUGGCAUGGCGCCCUUUGCCUUUUCACGCCUCACUGGUUUUCGUGUUUACAAUUUAAGGAAGCUGACAAAUCUUGAUCAGUUCUUGACCCCAGAGAAACUGCCAUCCAUCAAGUCGAUAGAAAUCUGUUAUUGUCCGAGUCUAACAUCAAUACCGUUCCACAGUUUUGUGGGAUUUGUUUGCCUACGGGACCUGAAAAUCCGUUAUUGUGACAAGCUGAAGUGCCCACAGGAAAUGGUUUUGCCCCCCUCACUCCAGCGAAUCUGCAUAGUGUCCUGCGGUGAGCUGGACAAGUCAUUUCCAGCCUGCCUAGAGAACCUCACCUCUCUCACUCUCCUGCAGUUGGGUGCUUGUCGCAACAUCAAGUGCGUUCCGUUGAACUCAAUCGAAUCAAACAUGCUCAAAUGCCUGGUUAUACAUGACUGCCCGGAGUUGUCAUCCGUCGGAGGAUUGCACGGCCUUGUAUCCAUACAGCAUGUCGAGCUACGUUACUGCCCUAAGCUUACCGAGGUACAACUGCCCUUCGAGAAGAAGGAACUGCGGACCAAGGAGGGGAAGGAACUAAUCAAAUUUCUUUGGGACUAUUAUACGGCCGCGUCAAAUUAAGGGUGCUCCCGAUGACUGAUCAGUUCUGAUGCUCCUCUCGUGUGUUACCAGUUGCUAAUAAAACCUCCUGCUAUUAUAUACUGGCAGUAACAAUUGCUGGUUCUUUUGGUUCGCCUACUACUUGCAGGUUGGAUCUCAAGUUGCAACCGGCAGUCAGGCCCAGGCUUGUAGGGAUGCUCAAUUCAACGAGGACGAGGGUCUCCAGCAGUCUCUGUCAUGUACCUGCACAAGCGACCAAUCUGUCCAGUUCUCUCACCUGCUCACACUACGUUUGGGGCAGAAAACUGGAGGGCUGCCGGUGAGAGGCUAUCCCGCGGGCACAGCCACACCAAUCGGACAUGACCAACAUAUCCGCUUCCAUCAUGUCACUUAUUUUCAGGCCUCAAGUACUCGUCAAGGUAAUUUUUUCCAUGAACAAAUCGAGUGUACUCCUAGCUUUGUUGGCUCAUGGGUCUUUCUUUUACUCAGCACCCAUCUAAUCUCGUGAUGGUAUUCAUAGGGUAGUAUCUGUUUCAUAGGGGCAGCUUUAAGUUGAGCUGCUGUGCACAGGCCCAAUGAGCCCAUGGCUUUGCUGGAUCGAGUUUGGAUACAUCGGCUACUCUUAUUUGGGCCUCGCCUCAACUCUCAGGCUUCUUUCCAUACAUUUUCUCCCAUCCAGACACUUGUCCAAUUAGCUCUGUAUACUGUUAUCAGACCAACGUUGGUUGGAAAAGGAAAAUGUACAUGUGGAUGCAAUAUUGUCUGAUUAGUAAUACAACAAUAUUUACCCUAGUCACUGUACCGUAUGCAUGUGAAUCAUAAACUCGUGUUGGCCAAUCACAAAAGGCCUUGGCGCUUGCAAAAUUUGACGCAAAAAGUUUAAUAUUUUUCAUGCAUGUUCGAGAAGGAUGCAUUAGUCAUACAAUAUUUUGCCAAGUCACUGUGCACGCACGCCUGCAUGAUCCAAGUUUUAAAGCUACGUAUCGUAUAGCACAGAGGGGAUCCAUGCAAUAAAUAGCUAGCUAGCUGGAGAUAAGACGCAAACACAUAUGAUCACAAAAAAAAAAUAACAAUGCAAGCGGAGUUGUUGUUUGAUUGACCAGCAGCUUGGUUCUCUCCGUUGCUUACGGAGCGUUUUGCGUGCUCUCCCAGGGCUGUCUAUGCAUCGAUCGCAGGACUGAUCAUGCUUAAUGGCGGGACAGCGCGUAUACGUAUACGUACGUACGUGUAGCGCGCAGUUCCAUCAAAUUAAAUAUAUAUUAAACGAAAGUUUAAAUAAUAACAUAUGUAACUACAAGUAAUAAAACAUUAGGAACAUGACAGAAAUAAAUUCCAAAUAAUUCGAAAUAGAGCAACCGACAGAUAUGUUACAUUUUUAUUUUUUUAAAAAAUAGUACUUAUUCAUAUUUUUUUCUGAUUUAAAAUACUUAGUUGUGAAUUCUUUGUAUUAAAUAAAUCAGUUUUUUGUUUUCACAAAAUAGAAAACCACCAUUGGAACCGGCUGGAGGACCAAAUUUGUCCGGUUUCAAUUAAACUUUUUAUCUUUAGAAAAUUAUUUUCAAAGACACUUCUUUGUCAUACCGUUGCCAACCUUAUUUGCAUUGAUGCGUCCAAACACAUUAAGGGGUUCAAGUCAAGAAAAAGUGAAUGGAGGUACACUGGUGUUGCACGUAGAACCACCGUGCCGUACUACUACCGUGGGUGUGUGUAUCGACCUGCAUAUUACAAAAAGAAAAUUGCUUUCAGCCUCUGCAACCGUAUGCAGCAAAGUUUUUACACCAUUCUCAGCACAAAAACUGAUAAUAAAAUAGGGAAAUGAGCACACACAUAAUAGGAAAAAUCAAAAGCAUAGUCUAUUAUUACUUCUCCAUCCAUUAUUGGCAAAAGUAUCCAAAGCGACAACCUCCAGUGCUUUGCAUAUGCAAGAGCAGCCUGCUUAUUAAUUUGUAGACCCCUCUCUUGAUCAUGUUAUAUGUAAUUAGUACGAUCAUGCUUAUAUCCUGUAUGUUGAGGAUCACUGGGGUGGUGGUCCAGAGCUUUCACUCGCGCAUGACUACCUGAUGAGCAAGUUGGCAACAAUGCAGAAGGAAGACGAUGAAGCUGCAGCUGGAGGUGGAGUGGCCCUCUCAGAUCCGCAAUGGACCAAUGGUUUUAUUAGUGGAGAGACCUGUUGACGACCUGCAGCAGGGACCAUCUCUAUAUCUCCAUCGUCGUCGUCCAAGCAAUCCCUAUUUCACCGGCGCUAACUCAGAUCACAAGGACUCCACAUGCAUCUGUGCCCGGCUGACCGUCCGAUUACACCAACUUUGUACAAAAUAUUUUGUUGAUUGUUGUGCAAUAUGAUCUCCUGUAGUCUCAACAAUACAUUCAUACUUAAUUUGACCACUAAUUUUGCUAGUGUAAAACACAUAAUUAAGCAAACUACAAAUAGCAAAGUUAUAAAAUUUUGAAACUACUCUUCAAGACAAAUCUAGCCGUAGCACUUUUAAACUUUCAGUUGAAAUCUUCCAAGAUAUGUUGACCGUCCAAGUUUAAACGUGUUAGCUUAAAAUGGCAUUUACUUUGUGAUAGGAGUAGGUAGCAAUGCCAGCCGGCUCCCGGCUGCCUCUUGCAAGCUUGGUAGCAUUAGUUUAGGGCUUUAGGCACAGUGUCAUGAUCGAUCUAAUUAAUUAAACAAAAGCCUUAAUUCGAAAUGUGAGGUCAAGUCGAUGGUAUGGGUCGACGACAGGACACAGGAUUGAAUGGAGAGCAUGAGACUCCUUUUUCCCUCAUUUACUAGUUUGCUCCCCCUACAGUGGGCCUAUCACAAACUAAAUGCCAUUUUAAGCUAACACGAGAUGAUGACUCCACAAAUAUAGGGAAGCCGCGAGUCCUUUUCUUUCCCAUGGGUCCACCCAAUUGAUAUGAUGCACACAAGCAUUGACAGCACGAGAAUUUUUGGCUAGCAAUUUCAAAAAUUAAAAAUUGCAUGACAUGAAUCACAAAAAACCGCAUUUACUACGCUUUCAAUCUUAUUAGGAAGUACAUGAAUAUAUGUGUUUGCUUAAUACUAUUUAGUUUCUUAGAUCACACGACGGUGGCGAAAUGUCUGUAUAAACAUGUUGUCGCCACCUAUAAAAAUGUUUUUUGUUUAGCGGUGAAAGAAAAGAUGAGAAGAUGCAUGGUUGAGAGUAGGAAAUUAUAUAUAUGAACCACAAACUGACACACACUCUCUCACUGCAGAAAGAGCGGGCACAAAUAAAUGAGCUCAGUGAUCUAUAGGCUGAAAUGUUGCGUACAUGCAUUACAACUCCCUCCAUCCCAAAUUACUAUUCACUGUGAUUUUUUUAGAUUCAUAGAUUUUACUACACACUUAGAUAUGUGCUAUGUCUAGAUACGUAGAAAAAAUCACGUAACUAGAAAAAUCAAAACGAAUAUUAAUUUGGAACGGAGGGAGUAGAAGCGUUGCUGUGCCAAAAAAGAAAGAAAGAAAAAGAGUAGUAGUAGAAGAAGAAGAAGCGUUGCUGCGCAAGUGUUUGAAGAACAAUAGUGACGUGCAUCACGCGUGUGAGGGUAUACUAACAAGUAAAAGGGCACGUGGGUUUAUAAAUAGGAUUAAAGCGACGUGUUGCCCAUCAAUGACAGGAGCGCGUGACGUGGAACCUACAAAUCCCACAAGCUAGCACAACAGGAUGCUACCACUGCAGGGCCGUACAACGUGGCAGGGCUGGACAUGUAUGUAUACAAACUCUUAUAUACAGUGUAAGAGGAGGGGCCAGGUCAUACUCAUACAUGCAAGCAUGGCCAAUAAUAUAUGCAUCCGUUCUCAGCUAGCAACUGGCAUGCAAGCUCAUCGAUCAUAUCCUGGUCGACUUUAAUUUGUUGUGAACUUGUGAUCCAGAGUCCAGGCAGACAAUAGGAAACAAAAAAAGAAGAAGAAAAACUGGGGCAUGAUAGAAGUGGCCACUGAGUACUGAAUCCCAGUGCUGUGGAAAUAAUGUGAUUGAUGGAUUAGUUUUUUUUCUAUUAAUUUUUAAUCAAUUGAAGAGGGUGAGGCUGGAGUGUAGUAGCUAGGCACACUGCACGCGGGCCUAGCCACAACUCACAAGUUGCUUUUAAGAGCUCAUGACCUACCUGCAUAUAUGAACUUGAUAAAAUCUUACAUGUAUGGGCCCAUUUACUAACCAGCAAAGAACUUAGGUGUCCAUAUAUCGAUAAACUAGCUAAGGUUUUUAAUUAAAAGGGGGCUUAAUCUUUGUGUGCAUGCAAGCUGAUGACCUGUACAACAACUCUGUGCUAGUAAAAUUCCUAUGUGUAUUUCUAUUACAGAUGUAGCAGUCCAGUGCACUUCAUCUAUGGAGAGACAGAAUCAUUACAGGUCAAAAACAAUUGUCCAUUUUUUUUCUAAAAGAAAAUUACAAGACCUUUUGUUGGAACCUAGCUAUCAUCCAACUUUUGGGUCCUGGCAACCGCUAUUUGGCUCCUACACGGCAGAACAAAAUGCCCCGAGUACGUGGAGUACAUGCAAAAGUCUAGCUUUAAGUUUCACACAGUAUCCAACAGUAGCAAACUGUUCCUCUAGGUAAUCCUUGCUUUAAAUUGGAAGUGGGCCUGGGUCAACUUCUCUAUUCAUGUGGUGUCCUUGACAGAAAGGGAAAGCAUGCACGCACACAUAGCUGCCGGAGUGAAAAGAGAUCAUCAGCGAGAACAAGGUAGUUUGGCUGCUAGUAAGUUAGUUAGAUGAUAGCAAGUGAAAAGGAGCUCACUCACAUUCACCUCUUGUCCUAUAUAUAACCGGCCGGCACACGCUUCAUAACCUUCAUGGGACAACAGUAGGGUACUACUAGCUGCCACCACAACUACUGCUACACUGCAGGCAGCCACCGGCCGCCGGAGACGAUGGGGAGGCCGCCGUGCUGCGACAAGGUUGGGAUCAAGAAGGGGCCAUGGACGCCGGAGGAGGACAUCAUCCUGGUGUCCUACAUCCAGGAGCACGGCCCGGGCAACUGGCGUUCCGUGCCCAUCAACACCGGCCUGAUGCGCUGCAGCAAGAGCUGCCGCCUCCGCUGGACCAACUACCUCCGCCCCGGAAUCCGCCGAGGCAACUUCACCCCGCAUGAGGAAGGCAUCAUCGUCCACCUCCAGUCCUUGCUAGGCAACAGGUACGUGCAUCCUGGCUGCAAUAGAAUUCUUCCUCUCUUCACCUAGCAACAUGGCAGUAUGGAAAUGGUGAUUAGCCUUGUGAUGUGCAGAUGGGCGGCCAUAGCUUCUUACCUCCCUCAGAGGACCGACAAUGACAUCAAGAACUACUGGAACACCCACCUCAAGAAGAAGCUCAAGAAGCACCAAGCCAUCGGCGCGAUCUUCGCGCCACCUCCCCCCUCUGAAUCUUCUUCCAUCGUACCUACCACCGCCGGCGCCAGCCAUCAUGUCGAUCUCCAUCAUGACAUAAUCGGCAGCAAGGACUACAACUACGCGCGUCCAGCAGCCUGCAGCAACCCGGACGAGGUCACCCAGCUCAUCGCCCGGCGCUCGCCGUUCGCCGCCACCGACGGUGACAGCUCCUCCUCGUCGUACGCCUCCAGCAUGGACAACAUAUCCAAGCUGCUCAACGGAUUCAUGAAGAGUUCCCCACCACCGCAGAACGACGCCACUGCCGACAUCAAGCCCUCUGCCACCGACAUCAACCCUUUGCUUUCGUUCAACCACAUGUCGGGCGGCAGUAAUACGCUGCCACCAUUCAGCGACAUGCUGCCGUCGCCACCGCCGCCGCAGCAGCCGGCGUUGACGAUGGGACACCGCGGUUACGACAACGAGCCCAAGCAGCAACACCACCAGCAGGGGCCGCUGUCUCCGAUCGAGAAGUGGCUGUUCGAAGAGGCCGCCGAGCAGGUCGUCGACCUCAUGGAUCUGUCCGACGCCUGCUGCUCAGUUCCAAUGAUGUUCUAGAAGAUCAAACAAAGAAGACAAAUACACGUCAGUUAGAUAGGUUAAUUUUAUUGGUUCAGAUUACUUUCAGUAGGAGACUUAAAGUUAUACUAUAUGUUGCAAAUAUUGUAUCCAUGCAUGAGAAAAGAACAAUACAUACAUAGUAGUCAAACUCCGUGUGAGGCACGGUCAUCUAGUUAGUGACACGUUACUUGUGGUAGAUUUGACACUGCCAAUCAAAAGUCAGAAGAAUAAGAGACAGCAACAGGAAUAAGCAAGGAUGACCAAAUGACAUGCAAGCAUGUCAGCAUGAUGUAAUUAACUACAUGGUUCAUAUUAAUUUGUUAUAUAUAUAUAUUUCUUUUAUACAUAUUGAGGUACACUUAGAUCAGUUUGUUGAACUCUUGGUUUCUAUUUGUCCAUCAAUAGAGAAUUAGAAUUAUCCCGGUGUUUUUAAAAACAUGUGAAUAGACUUAAUAUAUGGGACAGUGAAAUAUUUCCUAUGUCUAGCAAGCAAGCCAAGCAUGGACAUUUGCAUUGGUCAGUCCUGAAAUAUGAAAUGCAGAAUGGCAGUACUCACAAAAAAAAUGAAUGAAUGCGUGGAGUAUAGACUUAAUUUUGCUAGAUAGAAGCUGAAGAGAGGUAUACUCAAGGAAAAUAAUAAGAAAAAAAAAUCUUCAGAUAGGUGGUCCCUGAUGUAAUUGCAAGUCUCCAUCAGCAAGCAGAUGGUCCAUGAUCACAUUCAGUGCAGAAAGAAAACCCAACUCCCAUUUUUAUUUUCUUUUUUUUUCCCUAUCCCCUCCCAUUCAUUUAGCACAAAUCAUUUAUUUUCUUUUCAAAUGCUUUAAUGCUUCCAUGGAAAAUUAAACAAGUGUCAAAGUAUUUAUGCAAUAGCUUUCAAUGGAAAAUAACAUGCAUUCCCUACCAUGGUGCAAAAUAUUGGCAUACUUGGUGCCUAGCAAUGCAAGAUCAUCAACAUAAGUGGAAAUGCGUUGCUAGUUAGUCACAUAUCAAAUUAAAUCCAAAGGUAGAACACUAGAACAGAGAAUGCUGACAUCAGUAUAGAGGGGAAUGUAUUCGAUGAUUGAGACAUGUUCUGACGUGUCCUUCUCUGGUACACGUCCCUUUUAUGUCAUUUGCAGAAAACGUAAACCUCUGCAUCUAUUUUUCAAGAAAUUGUUGUGUAGUAUAUUACAAAGGAGAAAGAGUUUUAAGCGGCCUACAAUGCACAACUGGCAACCAGAACUGCUGGCCAAAUAAACAUAGACAAGCUAUUACAUACUACUGACAUAAAAACGACAACUGCCAGAAAUCAACACCGCUGGUAUUAUACACUGAGCCUAACAUGAUAAAUAUAGAAAUACUGCAAAAUUAAAGGCAGUGUGCAAACUUCAGAUUUCUUUAUGUUUAUUAAGUGUAAAACAUGAAAGUUUCAAAUGGUAUAUUGAUCUUUGGAUGAGAGCAAAAUCUCAGAGCAAGUGUAAGCUGAUGAUGUCUCAAGCUUUGAUUGUUCUGCCUGUACAACGCCUAGUCUGUCGCCAGAAUCUCGAUGUUGCACACCUGAGUACAGAACACCUGAUCCAGCUUGCUUGGUGCAGGUAUAUGCAUGUCUCGGAUCAGGUAGAGCUGGACCAGAGAUCAUAUCAGCAUAUACCGUUUAAACUUUGUCCUAUACCAACCACAACUAGGAAUGUUAAGUCCAGUCAUAGUCUAUAACUGAUUUCAUUAAGCCUUCAACCAAAUGGAAGGAAGACAACCUUCUGUCCCGGCAAAAAUAGGCAAUUGAGGGCCAUCUGCAUCCAGCCAGGAAAAGAACAAUCCUAGCACACUCUACGCUGAUUCAAACUAAGAAAUAUGAAACACCAACUAAACAUGAAUUAAAAUUAAUCUGCAUAUGAUGUAUGUUUGAUUGAAGGCAAGGCCAUGAUAAUUGCAUUUAGCUCAUCUAUGCAAAAGCAUCCAGUAACUACAUCGAUUAGAAGCCUGCAUCUCAGGCUCAGUAUAGCCAUCAGUGUAUAGGAGGGACCAAGGCAGGACCAUAUGGCUCACGUGUAAUUGAACCGCACCAAUGGAAGAAUGUGCCAGCACAACCAACCCGCAGGUAGGCAUUAAGUAUGAAAGGUCAAUUUAUGUUACCUCUGGACGAAGCUCCACUGCCUUUCAGGAAACUUCUUGCAGCAUAGUAAUACAGAUAGGUUGUCGGUUUCGUCGAAAAGCUGUUUAUAUAUCUGUUUUCAUAACAGGCAAAAUCAAUCCUCGGUUCUGGAACUGAAGUGAUGUGAAAACCAUUGCAGCACAUGCUGAGGGGCAGUUCAUGACCCUUGACCACUGAAUAUUGAUUCUUAAGGAAUUCUGAAGUCUCUUGUGCAAAGAUUUUACCUUACAGCUCAUAAUCACCAGCCAAAAAAGGAGUCUUUAUGUGUGGACCUAUACCUUACAGCAUCAACUGUUCUUUUCAUCUGGACCUAUACCACUUCUGCAAGGAUGGGUCUUUGUUCUGAGGCCUGCGUUGGUCUUAUGUCCAGAUGCACAUUCCAUAUGACAUCGUCGAUUGACAGACAUAAGUUUCCAUCGGUAUUAUUUCUGCACAAAGGCAAUAGGCUCAAAGCUGGAUCUCAUUAACACCAGGUGGCCCCUAAUAGAUGAUACCCUCCCUCAGGAGUAAGAAAUACAAGCCGUUUGAAAGUGACACAUUCUGUAGCAUAAGGAUAGUGUCAUCAUCAGUUCUUUAAUUGCUCUUUAAUAGGCAGAUAAUGUAGCAAAAGAAAAGGAAAGAUAUGACGACCUGAACAAUGUCAUCCAUGAAUAUUUAAAUGAGUAAGGAUUUCAGUUUACUCAAAAACACUUUCCAGUCCAAAUUUGUAGAAUUGUGACAAGGUUUUUUAAUGUGUCUGCAGUACGCCUGAUGAAAACAAUUGUAAGCUUUUUAUCAACGGACAAAAAUGAUUCUAGUCAGUUAAGUAGUUUGAUGUAACAACUAUUUCCAAAACUACUUUCUACUUAAUGUGUCAUAAAGACACCGCGCAGUUUCUCUUUCAUUCCCUUUUUGUCAGUGCAGGAGUAUUUUUAUGCAUAAGGCACAUCUACAUGUAAACCAUCUUACAUGUCACAGAAGAUUGACUUGUUAACAAGAGAAGCAAGUCUUCUUAAAAAGUAAAGAAAAGGAAGGAAGAUAGCACUCGCCAUUCAGUCAUAUUUUAGCCUUUCCUGUAUCUGCAAAACUAUGUGGUCAUGGAAGAACAAAGUGAAAAACACAAAAAAAAAUUGCCUUCUGGAACCUAAAUAUAUCAAUGAAUUGGCAAUAGCAUUCCAGUUCCUGGAAAUUUUAUGUUCAUACAAAAAAAACUACCACCUCAUCUGCCAGGGAAAUAAUCUGUACUGCUAUUCAAGAAAUUGUAGUGACCUGCUUCUUUACUGAAGAAUGAACUAUUUCUGCUCAGAAUGCUAUGAAGUUUUAGAAGUCAAAGUCCGAAUAUCUCCAUCAGUGCUAUUAUAAUAACCAAUAGUAUGUUAGAUACUCGGCAGGCCUGACUCUACAUCUAAUUAUAGGUGAUCUAUAAAGAGGGAAUAUUGCAAAAUUACAUGACCUUUAACAACUUAACUCAGGUUGCUAAAAAACCUAGAACUACUGCAGAAAUCUGUGACUAAAAGUGAAACAACUGCUGCAGAAAAAUGAAAGUAUUAUUUCUUUUACAAUAGAACACCUUGCACUUGUGCUAUUUGUUCAAAAGAUUGUGAAAAAAACACCUUUAGACAAGACUUUAACUUGUCCGUAUCUUGGUUCACAUGAAAGUACAUUUCUACAGUAUAAUCAUGAGUUCAUGACAACAAAGUUAGUAGCUACCUCCCAACUACUAACCAGACUCCACAAGGAGUCAAGGACCACCUCAGAAAGCCAGUUCUUUCGUUGUUAAGUAAGACCACCACAGCCAUUGCCUUCAAUUAAGACUAACAAGUCCUGUAACAACCACUAUUUUGUCAUGAGAACAUUACGAAUACCAAGCUCUUGGUAGAUUUUUUUUUCAAUUUCAGAAGAAUAGUUUCUAGAUAGUAUAUCUAAGAGGGACCACAAAGUGACCAGGAGAACUGUAGACAAUACGAAGGUUGGUAUUAUCAGAAUUCAGAAAAUAAAUGAAAGCUUUAUUAGCUAUGAUAGAAUUGCCUGUAUUUUGAGGCUACUAACCUUUACUAGUGAAUAUGCAAACAAAUAUUUCUUGCUUAAGAAUUGUAUUUACACAUUUAGUACAGAACACUUAUAUAAAAUAGAAUUGUAGAUAAGUUCGAGCUUUCUAAUUAUCCGGGCUACACUAGCAAACUUCAUCGGCAUAAAUUGUUCACCGCAUAUCUUCCACUUGUAUAGCUGUCCAAUACAGGAUCAUUCUGUAUGAGAAUCAAUAUAUGUGAUUCAUUGGUGUGUAUGUAGGCAACAAAGCAGUACAACUACAUCAUCAUAACCAUGCUUAUUUGUCCCAAAUCAUAAGCAUAUAUAUGAGACCAUCCCAUAACUAAUUAUUAAAUGCAGGCUUUCCCCACUAGAGCACAUUUAAUAGGCUUGAUAUGGUAUUCAAGAGGUUAUGAAACAUGCCACAUUGCCUGCUAUGUUAUCCAGGUCUUGUGUCAAUUCAAGCUCCAACGGAAGAAAAAAGAGCUGAUGAAGCCAUUUGGCACAGCACAACUUAGUGCCAUCUGCAUAUUCAAAAUAAAGAUCGGCAGGCAGCACUAUCUGCAGACUGCAAGUUGGGAAAAUAAUAUGAAUGUCAUCACAGGACCAUCAAUCGAUUAUAAAUAUUGAGAUAAGAAAGAAUGUGAUGGAUGAUUGCCAACUAACAAUAAUCACAAGUCACAACAGUAACAAAAGUUGACAAAAAGUGGUUAGUUAAAUUUAUUUUUGAGAUCAAGAUAAACUAGAGCAAAUAUUUAUUUGGCUUAUUGGAUUGUGGACAAUUCAAAAUGCUCAAUAUUCGCACAAUUUUAUCAAGCAAAACAUUUUAUGUAAAUUGAUCAUAUAUUUUUGAAUGAGUGAAAGCUGUUCUUGACGUUUUAAUAUCUAAUUAUAUUCAUGUAGAAAGCAAGGUAUAUAAGGACGUACAAGUGCAGAAUGUACUAGCAAAUCAUGACAAUUUACAGUAGCCUAUGUGCCCCCAUCAACCAGAAUUUUAAGGAAACGAUGGCACAUGAUUAUGCUGGUUGUAAGGAAUUAGCAUAGGACCACUAGCUGUCUGCAAUUCGUACAGGGAUAAAAGUAUCAUCAGAUUUUUUUUUGUUGAAAUUACCAAGUAUCAUCAGAUUGGAAAAUCAAUUUACAAUUUCCAUGAUUGAGAAUGACCAACUUAACUUAAAGAAGAACAUUAGUCAAUAGGUCGUCAAACCACAAUGAAAACCCCAGGGAGGCUCUAGGCAACGAGUUUGAUGUGGAUUGUGUGGUAGAAAGGAGCCUGUCUGAUUGAUGUAAACUAAACUGUACAGAUAAAGCUCUCAGUUGAAGACAUGGUCCGAAAUUCUUCACUUGUUGUAAUCAAGUUGAUGCUAUCUAGUAGAAACAACACAUAACACUAUUUUCAACAAGAAAAUCAACCAAAACAGGACAGGACGGUAACAGAACACAAUAUAUAGGUGGAUGUCAAUUCAUCAUCAAAGAUUCAAUUGUUCAUGGAGCCAAUGUUUAUGCAUCAACAUCUAGUUAAACAGUUAUACAGCAACCGUCAACCUUGAUCAACAUUGGAUUGGACAUCAUCAUUAUACCCAAGUACAAGAAAACACGAGUUAGGCAUUGGAAAAUUGUGCUUGCUAGCUGUUAGGAUGGAAACCGUUUGGGCGGUAUUUUGGGAGAACUUCUUAAAAAAGUUUUGACUGAAGGGAAGGUGAAUUAUUGAAGAAGACUAGUAAAAAAACGCAGAGAAACUCACUUUGAUUAAAUGCCUAAUAAACUGUGAUAUCAAGCUACCGAUGCAUAAUAAUGAUUAAUGAUAACCUAAUGAAAGCAAUCCUUAUCGGUAUCAACAAAAUUCAAGCAGAUGUCCAGAAAGGAGGGGAACUUACAAAACAGACAGCACAGGUGCAAUAGACCACUCCACGGUGAUGGUGGAGUGCCACACAUGUGGAUUGGUAACAAGGUAGUGAAAGCCGGAGGCAGUUGCAUAGCCAGUGAUGCCCAUGUCCGAAACCAGGGGGCGCCAGUGCUUAUCCCCACUCAACCAACAGCAUUGACCACCACCGUCUGAAACAUGUGGACAAACUCAGUUUUAGUGAUUUGGAUCUCCAUAAAGUAGCAGGGAAUAAGUUGAAUGGGCAGUCCUGCAGUCCCCGUUCACAGCCCAAACGGUUUCUAAGACCAUGUGGACUUCAACUUAGGGCUAGAAUUUAUAAAGCCCACAGUUUAUCAUUACAACCCGGUCCAAAAAGACCCUAGAUCAUCACUGCAUGGUGCAGAAGUAUACUUGCAGCAAAGAGUGUCACUGCAAAUAAUCAAAAGCUUUCUACUUACAAGCAAACACUUCCAGUAAGAGGAAGAGGGAAACCCAAACUCAGCUGAACAUGUCAUAUGGUUAUGGUGCUACUGCUAUCAAUUCAAAGUUCUCAGAUUUGUUAGUUUAUUUAUCUCAUCAAGGCUCAGCAGGUAACAGAAAGUACUAUAUCAAUCUUCUUUGAGAAUAAGGGUAUGAAUUAGCUAUCAAUUAUUUUAUAUGAUAAAUUGCAAUAGAACUAAUUUAGAAACUGCUGCAUGCACAUAGUAUGGAAUGAAGAAGAAGAAAGAUUGGAAAUUUUCAGUUUUUAGUUAGAUGAUCAAACAGCAAUACAGUUGAUUCAGUUGGAAGUGUUUCUUACUCCUGCAGACUUUGAUUAGUGAUACUGUAUAAGAAAAUAUCUCACCAGUUCAUAACAAACUGCAAUCAUCAAAUGCAACAGAAUUUUCAUACAAGAAAUCCAUUUAUCAUCAUUAACAAAUUUUCAUGAUUAAAAUCAAAUUGAGAUGACCAACAUUUCCUGCAGAUAAACUAUACCCUAAAAAUGAAUUGGAUAACGUCAGCAGUUUAGCAUAUCAGUUAAAAACAUGAACAUGGAAUUCUGCUCUACUUUUCCAUCGUGCUCAUCAUAGAAUCUUGAAUCUUGAGAUAGCUGAUCAAGAUUGUAGCCUAGUGGAUGAACACAACAAUUACAACUCUACAUCAAUCAUAGGACUUUGUUACAAAUCAGCACCUUCUCUCUAUAAACAUAUUAGUUCCUCACGAGCACAAGUUCACUGCAUUGAGGAAGUACAACUCAAGUUGCCAAGUUACCUGAAUUAUCUGGCCCAGGAGAUGACAUACCCAAUAUAUAUUUGUACAAAGAUCAACUGUGUAAAUAAGCACUGCAAAUAUCAUGAACAUGGUACAGAUUUACAGCCAUCAACACUGAAAAAAAUAGAGUGGACACUUCCUUAUUUCAGCAUUAUUUGUAACAGAAAAGACAUCAGCUCCUAAGAUGGUUUUGUAGUUUUUGAGAGCAGGCUCAGACACUAGAUAAAGGAGCUUGUUAUAAACUCAAGGAAUUUCAAGACACUUGGUGAAUGGUGAUACAGAAUUGAAUACAACAAAUGUCCACAACCACAAGUAUGUUUAUGCAGAUACAGAUACAAACAUUCCAUUAUAUCAGAUAAAGAAAAACAGUAAACAAAUAUACCUUUCCCCCUCUAUGUUAGAAUCAGGUUUGCAUCUGAAUCUGUAGAUCUAUCAUUCCUAAGGGGGGGUUGAGGAAAGUCCUCUUCUCUGUUUCUAAAGUCAUGAUAACUGAGCAGCUUGUCAGGCUGCUUUCACUACGUUAGUGAAAUGGCAGGUGGACUGGUAUUUAGGAAAAUACAUGCCAUUUACCACCUGGCCUCAAGCACCUUUAUUCAGGGAGAAUCUUGCCUGAAUCUCCCAUCUUGGGACCUGAAAGAAUUGCCCACGUUUUACAAGCCCGUGCCAUCUGAUCAUAGCUUCUCCGUCAACCGAAUCAUGAAAGAACUGACAGCAACAACAUCCAGAACAAUCCAUGAUGACUCAAACAUGUCAUGGAAAUAGUCUGCACCAAUCUCCUCUGCUGCUGAUCUGAAUGCAUUGCCAAACGCAUUACCCUGAACAGCCCCAAGCCUUGGCUUCCCAUAUACCCCGACAACCAGCACCUUCUCAGGUUCCUUUGCCAAGCAAGCACAGAUUAGUGGCUUCAUCCUCGCACCCCUUUCCUUCAGUGCAUCCAUGAGAAAGAAGCAGAACUUGGUAAGUGCCUGAGGGUGGCAAAGCUUAUUAGUGUCCACAGGGUCAUCAAGCUUCACCCACCGGAACUUCUUGGCGCUCCGUAUAAACCCUGUCUUAGUAAUUGCCGAGCUUCCUUGCCUCAAUAUUGCCCUCUGUAUUUCAAUUGCAGACUGCAUCCCUUUCCGCAACUGGUCAACAUUGCUCAGUGACAAUGCAGAGUAAGCAACCCAAAACUGCUCAGCAGCUGAAGACUCCUUUGAGUCCUUGGACUCGGCAUUCAGCGAUUCAAGCAAAGCUGUGACACCAUAUACAACAUCUGCAGCAGAAACCUUGGACCUGUACCCGUGCACUCUCAAGAAGCUCCGGUAGUAGAAUUCAGUGAGCCCAUACUCGGGCAGGAAGCGGUCAAACUCAUCCCGCAUCUUGCGCUUGACCUCCAUGCUCAUGUACUGGAAGUUCUUCUGGCAGUCGGCAAGCGGGAACCCCAUCCUCGCCAAUAGCAGCUUGAGCUUCUUGAGACCAUUGUCGCUCCACGUCUUGAGCUUAGUGGCGACAUAGGAGGAGCAGAGCAUGGAGUCGAACAAGCUCCACUCCCGCAGCAGCAUGAGCCUGGGCUCGUCCUCAUAGGCAAUGCGGGAGGUCUCCGGCGCCCGGAUCUUGGUGCCGUCCUUGAGCGUGACGACGGAGCCAACACCAGAGGGGUCGAGGUUGCCCGAGCCGUUGAUGUGCUGCUCGAGCUCCAUGACGGCUGCCUGGUAGCGCUCGUUGGUGAUGCGGUCGUGGACGAACUGGUCGGUGAGGGCGACGCAGGCGAGCCAGAGGAGCUCGUUGGUGUUCUUGCGCAGCGCGUGGGCGAGGUCGUACAUGAGGCACCCCGACGGCUUGCCGUGGAAGGUGCCGAGGCGGUAGUACUCCCGGCGCAGCUUGGCGAAGAGCCUGACGGGGUCGCCGCCUUCCGCCUCCGCGUCGUCGGAGAGCCGGCGCCUCUUCCUCCUGCCGCCGUCCUCGGCAUCGGAGUCGGAUUCCGAGGCAUCGGAGUCUUCGUCGUCCUCGUCAGGGACGCGGAGAUGGUCGUCGGCGUCCCCCUCGGCGGCGAGGUCGGAGGCGUCGGCGAGGGAUGAAAGGUCGAAGUCGUAGGAGAGAUCCGCGGUGUGCUCGUCGUCGGAGGUGAAUAGCACCACCACGCGGUCGUUGUGGGCGCUGAGGUUGUGGAGGUGGACGGGGCGGUGGGAGUCGACGACGAAGGCGGUGGCGGCGUGGGGCAGGAUCCCGCGGAGGUCGCGGUGGGCGCCCCAGUUGACGAGGACGCAGCAGAGCGGGGCGGUGGUGGCGGAGAAGGAGGCGAGGAGGUCCCUGGCCCUGGCGGCGGAGGCGACGGGGUAGAUGGAGAAGCGGAUGGAGUCGGCGGAGAGGACGUGGGCGAGGGCCCUGACGGCGCAGAGCGAGUCGGCGUCGGCGGCGGAGGGGAGGAUCAGGAGCGGGGAGGAGGAGCCCGCCGCGGCGGCGGCGGAGCGGAGGCGCGCGUAGAAGGAGUCGACGCGCAGCUCGCGCACCAUCGCCGCUGCAUCAAUCGGGAUCGAGGGCGUGGGGAAUUGGAAGUGGAGGUCGGAGCGGAGGGAUUGGGAAAUGGGGAUCUGGGCUGGGGAUGGAGCGGCGGGAGGGAGAGGGGUUUGGAGUUUGGAUUUGGGCGUUUUGUGAGGGCGCGCGGGGGAUCGAAUUCGGAAUUUCGUUUUGGGAGGGAAGACCCGCCAAUUGCACAUUGCCCGAACUCUGGACUGUGACAUGUGGGUCCAUCUAUAUGUGGGCUGCAAGAUGGGCUUGGCCCAGUUAAUGUUGGACCAGCAACUUCUUGGGCCAAAAUAUUUGAGCUGAGCUGGAAACACUUGUUGCAGACAAUAUUUUCUAGCAGCAGACUUCAAAAUGAAUUAUCGAUAGUGGAAUUGCCCAGCUUUGAUCAGCUCCAUAGAAAUGAAUUAUCGAUAGUGAAUUUUCUCUAACAACUCGUGCAUGUGUUUUGCAUGCUCCACCACUACAAAGGAAAGAGUAGCCAGAGCUCGAAUGUAUACGUAAAAGGAGCUGCAACACCAAGGUUGCAAAAUCGCACCCAAUCAGAAUGAAGCACCCAGCCUUUGCAGCCCCAAUCUAUAUAAGAGCUAGCAACACAUUGAGGUGAGGUCCAAGAACAUCCACACGUACAUGCACGUAGAUCCAUUCAUUGCCUCGACCAUGAUCGACAUGCGCUGAAAGCGAAAUGCUCAGCCAUACGCAAGGUGCUCCUGCUCCGUAUAUACCUGCAAGCUGGCGCAAGUUGAAAGGUUCGAUAACUUGAUCCUGGAGAGCAAAGCACAUGCAUCAAGUGACCUAGGUUGUGCUUCAACCCGUACGAGCGCACGGACCAGCAGCUGACCUUUUGGUCAUUGACGCACUCUCCAAGUCAUGAGUAGUAGGUGAGGAAGAUUCAAUACGACCAUCCUUUGCAGGGUUCGCGAUAGAGAGGUACUUGCUAUAGAAAUUGGCAAGACUCAACCACUACAUUCCAAGAAUAUGCUGUACAUUUUGGUAAAAAAAGAAUUCUAAUCGUACACCCUAACCAAGUCAUGUUAGUCAUGCCACCGGGGUCACGUUCACAAUGUGACCCUAAUCCUUCGCACCUUCGCCCAAAUGAUCUUGAAUGGGCCUUAGAUUUCGGACAUUGAAUGUGCUCACAACCAUCGCCUCGCUCUGCCAAGUUUGCCGAGUACCUUCACUUCGCGCUCUCCAACGCGAGAACCUGCAGACACGAUCAAAACAAUUUCCCCGCACCCUCGCAAGCGAGGUGAUGAAGGUAAGAAAAGGAAACGAGGGUGUUAGCUUUGAGCGAGGGUGAAGAUCAUUUCGAUUAUUAUUGUGAUGAUCCAAUUCUCUAAAGCGACAUGCGAGGGUGACGUUUACAAUCCGGAUCCAGAUUCCCAACAAUAGCCCUUCGGGGGCGAGGUCCAACUCCAGCAGGCUGAACCCUCGAAAUAUCAUUUGAUCUCGAUCAAGGAUUGAAAAACGUCUCCUUGCUUGCUGGAUUGGAUCUCUCUGCGAAGGUAGUUAAAUGACUAUUUUGCCCUUGCUUUUUUUACCGUUGAGCAUGGUUACCAAAACGGCACCUUUUUGAGCCUAUAAAUAGAUGGGGGUUGCGGUAACUAUUCUGCACCCUCAUUUUGACAAGUACCCUCACUGCUUUCUGAUUUCGUUCUUUGAGAUUCGUGCAUCCUUUCGAUUCAUCCUUUGUUGAUCUAGCGAAAGUGAUUUUCUUUCUUUAAGUUAGCACUGCACUUGGUAUGAAUUGAAUGUUAUCUUAUACGAAUUUAUUUUUUUGAUAGAUCAAGUGGCACGCGUUAAAAGUACUGCUAGACUGAUGAUGACUGAGGAGGAGCUGGUUGCUGCCAAUCUAAUGGAUCCCAACGCUCAAGGAAACCCUGUUGCCAAUCUGGCGAAUCCGAUUGCUCAUGAUAUCCUGGUCAACAAUCCGGUGCAUCCUGAUAUUGAACCACCUCACAUGGGAGAUGAAGACCUGGGCGGCACUCAACACGCCCGCGAAGGUAACAGUUCAUCUGAGGGGGGAUCUAAUGAGGAUAGAUCUAGCGAUUAUGAUGAUGGCGAUACUGCUGAGGGUGUAGAAGAAGGAGAAGAAGAAGAAGGCGAGGAUCUUGAAGAUGUGGAUGCUAAUGUGAACGAUCUAGUUGCAGAAACUCCCAUUAGUUGUUUUUUUGGCCGUUCUUUGGUUAGUCAGAAUGACAUUGACUUCUAUGUCGAGAAAGGAUAUUUCAACACUAGAGAUUGUCGGCUCCCUGGAGAUGAGGAUAUUCCUAUUCCACAGCCUAAUGAGUGCGUGGUAUUUUGAGAUUUCUUCGUGACUGGGCUAAGAUUUCCAUUGGAAAAAACUUCCGCAGAUGUUCUUGCUACAUACAAGGUCAGGAUUACUAACCCCAAAUUCUAUCCCCCAGCUCCUAAAAUAUUUUUGGUGUAGUCGUUCUUUUGAAGGUGAAAUAGAUGCAGAGUCUUUCUCCUGCCAUUUUGAAUUGCAUCUCCAAAAGAAGCAUAUUAUUGUUAGUGAAGAAGAAUUCGAGGCGCAGUAUGGAUGCUGCACUUUCCGAACACGGUGGUUGGGUCGAAACAUAAUGCCAGUUGCCCUCGCCCUGAGCUAGAAAAAUAAGUGAUCAAACAAGUAGGAUUCGUAUUGGUUCUAUGCAACCAUUCCUGUUGUUGCUGGAAAAGAUUCUGAGGGUAAGGAAAUUUUGGAGUACCCUGUGGCCUGCAAGAUCAAGUAUAUGGAACUGGAAUUUGUGCCCACUUAGCCGUCAAAGCCGCUCUUCACCAGGGACAUCUGCUUAUUUCCAAGCCAGUCAAGUUGUUUCUAGUCGAGAUGCUAUUAAAGAGUUUUUGGCUGCGGGCAUCUGGCCCUCACGCCAUGGCUGGAAACCAACUAGUUUUGUUAAGAAAAGAAUCCCCGACACAGACCUAGAGAUUAAAUUUCCGAAUUUGGGUGUUAAAGAGCCAGAUGGGGUAUCAGAUGCAGAGUUCGUGGCUGAAAUUGAGAGGCAGGUUGUUCUUCUGAUUGGUAACUAUUCAUCGAAGGAACAUGAGGCUGCGAUGGUAGCUUUGAAACACGGUGGACGAAUCAAUCGAGUGUUUGAUGAGAUGAAAAUUUCUUACAGCCCGCACCUGCGUCCUGGUGGGCCUGCGAAGCAAAUGGUUUUGCCGGGAAACAUCGGCUCUCAGAUUCCCAAGGUCAAGAAGGAAAGGCUUUCCAAGAAGAAAAACCUGGACGCUGCUGGGUGUUAGAUGUUUCCAAAUCCACAAAAGUUGUAACGGCACUGUAGAAACGUAAAAGAGAAAUUGAAACUUAUGGUGUUGUUGUUAAACAGCGUAAGAUAAUUCCUAGCGCACCGCCAAAUGUUGAGAGCUCGCCUUCGUUCAGGUGCUUGAAACUCAAAGUGUUGCUUCUAAGCAACAUGAGAUUGAACGCCCAAAUGAUCUUGAUUGGGCCUUGGAUUUCAGACAUCGAAUGUGCUCACGAUCUUCGCCUCACUCUGCCAAGUUUACCGAAUACCUUCGCUUCGUACCCUCCAGCGUAAGAACCUACAUACACGAUCAAAAUAAUUUCCUCGCACCCUCGCAGGCGAGGUGACGAAGGUAAGAAAAAGAAACGAGGGUGUUAGCUUUGAGCGAGGGUGAAGAUUAUUUCGAUUAUCAUUGUGAUUAUCCAAUUCUCUAAAGCGGCAUGCGAGGGUGACGUUUACAAUCCGGAUCCAGAUCCCCAACAAAACCCUGCCUUGAUCUGAAUCUCUCUGAAUUAAUGUCGCAAUAUCUCAGACUCUGAAUCUGAAUUAAUGCCGCAAUAUCUCAGACUCUGAAUUAUUACGAAAUCUCUCUGAAUUAAUGCGCAGUUAAAUUUCGGAAAAAGCGUCUUGAGGAAGAUCAGACAGUACAAUAUAGUAGGCCGGAGCUAGGCAGCAAUGCCUGAUCGACAGCGGUGAAACAACUGCAAAUGAUGCCAAGAUACGGCGGCAAUGUUGACAUUGCUUGACAGCAACACGCAAGUGCCUCCGCCACAAGCACAGUACUCCACUUUUUUCGAUUCCACCGGAUCAUUAGCCUUCAACAGUAGCCAGGGAUACCGGAUAUAUGUGCAUCAACAGAACCGUCGAAAUUGACAGAUGGUUAACCAUGGGCCCCUUCUGAGUCCCCAUGAACACAUCAGCAAGUGAUAACAUAUACAAUAAACAAGUGAUCCCGUUCAACUAAACAAAAGCAAAGUGUACUGAUUCCUUUCCGUUCAAGGUAAAAAAGGCAUAUAACUAGAUGUCUAGAUCAAUGGUGCGGUGCUCCGGCAACCCGCACUUUGUGCAGUCAAAAUAGGAUCAGACUUGUUUUUUUUUCUUUCGAAAUGAAAAUAACAUCAGACUUCGAAGCAAGCUAUCGCAGUGAGGGGGAAUUUUUUUCCUAGAAAAAAGCAAGCCUCAAGAACAAAAGCAACAACUAAUGAUUCAGGGACACAGGUCCCAAGCAAGCAAGAAGCACACGUGUAUCUACGAAAUAUAGUAAGGUGCAUGUUCAUUAAUUUCUAUACGGAAAUGAUAAUUAACAGGGAAAGCACUCCGACUAUAUACAUGCACAUCAGUUACAAGCACCGUAUACCAACGAUCAACACACAUAUACUGACACACACACACACACAUCAGUACAAGUUUCACCGGAAAUCCAAGACCAAAAGGGACCAAAAAGAAGAAGAAGAAGAGAAGAAAAGAAAUAUCGGUCCACCAUAUACGGCUGAAAAUAAUGCACCUACCAAUCAUUUCAAUGCCUUCGCCACCCAUCAUCGAUCUCACAUGCUCCUGAUGCUUGAUCGAAUUCAGCUGGAGGUGGUGGAGGAGCAGUCGCAGUCGGCCUCCACCUCGCGCCUGUGGAAGCUGCGGUGGCACCCGCAGGCGGCGCACAUGAGCGCCGCCGCCGUGCCUUCCGCGCCCGACGCCAUGAACUCGCGGCACCCGUCCACGGCGUACCCGCCGAUGCUCGCCGCGUGGUUGCGCUGGCACUCCCGGUAGUGCACCACCUUCGUCUCCUUCCUCGUCGCCGUGCCAUUCGCCAUGGACUGCCGGUCUUGCUGAGGCCCCAUAGGCAGCAGCUUGGUGGUUGUUGAAGUUUGGUGGUGAUGGAUGGGGAAGAAGAUGUUUGAGGCUCUAUUGCUAUCACGGCUGCUUGCUUGGAGGGUGGGAUCGACUUUUUAUAUGGGGAAGGGGGCUACUAGCUAGGUGGACGAGAUCGAUCACGGGUUUAGGGCCAACCUUUGAGCAAUCGGCUUACUUGGCGUGGCUUUCUGUUUUGCAAAAUACCCAAAUCGCAAUGCGUCCACUCUUUGUUCAUUUGUCGCCUAAUAUGUCGCAAUUCCUUUCUUUUUCUAAAGAAAGAUGUAUACGAUGAGUCACGGAGUAAGUAAUCCGAUCCAACAUUAACAAGAGAUGGAUCAUGAAUCAUGUAGUAAUCCGAGAUACUACCUUUUGAAUCACAUGUUUCGAAACAAUUCGAAACUUGCGUGGAUACAUUUUCAAAUCAUCCUGCUGAUGAGUGAGUACGCUGGCACAUUAUGGAUGGCCUAGUCUGGUCGUUAUUUCUGUUGGCCGUGCUAAAUUAUUUGGACUAAGAAAAGGCUGUAUAUCCUAUCUUGUGGUGUAGCUACCAGAGAGCCACUAAAAGGUGGCCGUUUGGUGACUCGUAUUAUUAUUUGUCAAAGACCAGCAUGACCAACUAACCAACAUUUUUAGUAGGUCCAUUAGUGGACAAGAUUAGAUCUGAAUUGACUUGACAAAACGUCUAAUGGGCCUCAGCUUGACUGAGACCGGUCUAGCUGCUAACCUCCAGAAAGGUUUUUCGUGCACUGACACUGACAUCUUGACCAAGGAACAUGAAAAGAAAGGAAAAUUGCACAACCAAUUUGGUUACAGCUUUUGGGAGAUUCAGCGACCUUGGUACGAACUAGGAACACGGAACGCAAGAAGGAAAUUAGGCAUGGAAAGAAGAAUUUUUUGGAUCCACAUUGGAGGUUGGACAGAGAAGCACUCCUCUCCAAUUGACUCUUCCUCCUCCUCCGGCUUCUGCAUCUGCUACUUGCUUCUGCCACCUUCCCUCUAUUUUUUUUUCUUUUUGAUUGACAUCUGACCAAUUGAACUGUUUAAUUUAUAGCUCAUGUGCUCCAAUUCAUCAGGUCACCAUUGGUCAAUGAUGUUGUGAUGUUGUAUAUAGCUGUGUGAUAUGAACACCUAGCUUGCUUGAAUGCAGGUUCAAUGUGGGGUAUAGCAGCAGUGCAGCACCACACUUUAGACCUCAGAUUCUGAGCCUAUUUGCCCACAUUUGAACCUGUGACACGCGUGUCUGAAUUGUCAAAACCUAAGCCGACGAAACUAGGAACUUUAGGCAGAUUCUUCCAUAUAUACUGGGUAAUUGGACAUGAACGAAAGCAAUGUAGGUUGGCGAUCUUUCCUGAGGUAGCGCUGGCGACAUGAAAGAUACCAUGAUAUUUGCUUGCCAAGGUUGAGAGAUCUCUUCAGGAAAUAGGAAAAAAGAUUUAUGGUGCUGUACUAGAAUCGGCUAGACUGGUAGAGUAGUAGACUUCGACCAUUGCAACAAAGAUACAGAAUGGUCGUUUUCAGCACCCGAAGUUUUCUUCUGUGGUGGAACCAGUGAUAAAAAAAAAUCAUGUUCUGUUCUCUCAAAAAAAGAAUAUAUUCACACCGCCGGUUCUGUACUGACAAGAGAAUGGUAUAUAUUCCUACUCUACUCGACAACUUUCCUGAGUCAAAAGGGAACAUAUUCCAUGUAGGAAAUGCCCCUGUUUGUCAUCUCGUAGUUAUAAAAUACGAAAAGGUUCAGCUAGGUUAAAUUUGAAAAUCUGAACUGAAUCUGUAAAUUUUCACCUGGUCAGUACAGCUGUAAGUCUAAGCAUUACUUUUCCAUUUUGUACUUGUAAUAUCAACAUCACGGGAAUGAAUGACGGUAAAUAUUUCUCAUGAUCCUAUAGACAACCCUGCAAAUCCCUUUUUUUUCGGAAUAAACAUUACUGGAAAAUUUUGCUGCUGCACAUAGAUAUUUCACAUAAAGUACUCAAAUUGUUUGUAUAUUGUUGAAAAUACAGUAAUAGUUUUGCUCCCUCUAUUGAAACUAACAUACACAUAAAUAUGGUCAUAUUUUUGCGUUGGACUUGUGUAAAGCUUAAUUGUUUGUAUAUCGUUGCUACACGUUGUGAUCACUGUUCCAAAUCUUUCUUCUUAUUAGCUUUAUGUUUUAAAAUAAGCAUUCAUGAUUGUACUAAUCUCUCAGGACCAUAUCCACUUGGCAAGUUGCUGGACUUCUGUCAACCUAACAAGAUGAGCUCAAUCCUUUUUCUUAAUCAGUAGCCUUAAAUAUCAGGUGCUAACACAAAGUGCUGCUUUCAUCAUCACAAGCAACAAAAAUGAAACAAAUGGUAUAUUAUAUCAGGAGUACCUUGGUACCCCACUUGCUGCACUGGAUCAAAAUCUUGAGAAAGUUGCGCAAGUACAUUUGGCAAAAAUUAUUGCCAAUUUAUUUCAAGUACUGGUCCUUAUAAUUGUAGUGGCUCAUUUUAUUUGACCUUAUGAAUUUACAAAGAAGGGAAGGGGUCCUACUAGCUGGUGGAUAAUGUGAUAUUAGGCUCCACCUAUCAAAUCAAAUCAUGCAACAAGCUGCCAACAUGGGACACACUGUGGCUGAAGCCUCAUCAGCUCUUCCAUUUCCCUCUGUCCUCUGCCCAGCAGAAUGUCUGUUUUCCAGGCCACUGCAAAAUCUGCAAUCGAGGAUCAGUCGUACAGUGUUUCAGUUGCCAUCAGUCAGCGGAAGAAUGACUCAGCUUCUGCCACUUAUCAUGUUUAAAUCUCACCUUGGCUAGCAUCAAACAAACUGGACACUACUUGAGAGAAAAGGAAGGCCGACGUGAAGGCAGGAAGGUCCCCUACCAAUUGUUGGUGGAUGCUUCAUGUGGGCGUGGGGAACAGUGGUUGAUGCAUUGGCUGAAUUGGCUGGCAUCCUUUUUGCGAGGGAUGUGUGAAUCUGCAUGUGAAGGGGUCGCGUGCAAUUCAAGUCCUCUUCCUUUCGGACAGCUUGGCUCCAAGCACCGCAAACUUGGUUGGAUCGGAGCUAAGCUAGCUGUUCUCCUCUUGUAUGAAUGUUUGACAGAUCCACGACGAGUGCACGCUUGUCGCAGGGAUUAGAUGAACAGCUUUGCAACAGCGACUUAUUGAGAACCUUGUAGUAGUGAAGAUAUAUGUUGGUGACUAGUUGAGAGUCUGCAGGCAUCAAAUCGAUGGAUGCAUACAAGUAGGUAGUGAGCGACCGGAGGGGAAGGUGGCAGCUGGAGCUAGGGCCAGAGUGUCUGCCAUUCGUGGAGAGGAUGGUGUCGUUUUUCUGGUUCGCGUCCAAUCGGGCAUUGCAGCCAGCGACACCAAGAAACAGAUGGACUGACUGAAAGAUACAGAUGAGUUGAUUCAUUGAUUGGCUAUGCUGGCCACUGCAGGUACACCGAAUCAGAAAGUCAGAAACGAGACGGAUGGAAUCAGUGGAGGGAGGGAGAUUGGCAGAUUGCAUAGUAUGGUUUGUCCUUGAAGGACAAAAGGCAUCGUCCAUCUCUGCUCAAAGGCUAGUGCCUGGCCCUGGCCUGCCUAUGAUGGCAAUAUGCAGUAGUGGAGUGGAGUGGAGUGGAGUGGAGUAGCAUCUGGUCCUGGUUUAUUUCACAGGUCAACUGUUACUCAUGUACUGUAGUAAUCAAGUACUAAUGAUGGUAGCGAUCAAUCAUUGAUUUGAUGGUGUGCAGGUUUUUUGGGCAAGUCUGGUUGAUUUGAUCUGUCUUUACUCUUUAAUGACAAGAAAGCAACCUCGUGCCUGGGAAGAUUAAGCGAGUAAACACGGAGUCAGAGACUAGCACUCUAGUAGCAGGCAAGGACUAAGAAAGACAGACGUCUCAUUCAGUCUAAGCUGCUCUCUGCUUGGUCAUCCAUCAUCAGACUAGCUAGCCAUUUUCUGACAACAGACAGAAUCACAUAGCCCCAAACCUAUUCGAAGCCCACCAAGUGAUGGCUCAAAUCCUCCCACACUAACUAACAAAAAAGUUUUUUUUAUUCCUAGACUAGAAGAGGCAGGCCCGGAAAGAGGGAAGAAUUCCAUCCUGCAGCACCAGCUAUAUCUAAGCUAGGUUUAAGGGCACUUGGUGCCUCCUCUCUUGGUCUUCCAGUUGUUGUAGCAGGGGCAGGUGUCCUUGUUGCCGUAGGUGCCGGGGGGCACGCAGAGGCACUUGGCGCAGCACUUGUUGCAGAAGAAGAGGCACGGCUUCUUGUGGUGCGUCUUGGAGCAUCUCCGCCUGCACUCCCCACCGCACUCUGCAUCGAUCAGUCAGCAGGCUUUCAUUAUAAUUCACACACCAAUCCAAACAAAGAUGUUUGACUAUAUAUUUACAGCAAGCAACAAAAUACUGAACUAUCGACUGGAGGAGUAGAUCGGAAACUAAAAACAAGAGAAGCUAUGCAUGCAUGACUUACGAGAAGGCUUGAGAUUGCCCUUGCCAUCCUUGUUGUUGCCCUGCACACACACAACACACGCCAUGACACAGUUAAAGCCCAUCUGUCUAUAUACGUACUAGGUAUUCCAUUGUUUCUCUGCUGUGAUGGUAAAGAUGCAUGGGUUACCUUGUGGUUGUCGACGUCGUCACCUUUGCUGUUCAGGUCUUCACCAGCGACACCAUUACUGCCGAUGAUCUUUCAGAUCGACAACGGGCAUCAUGUGUAAACAUAUCGAAGCCGAUCGUGAAUGAUAGCUACACAGAAGGAUCGGAAAAUCCUCAAAAUUAAAGGAAAGGAUCCAUCAGCUAGUGCAUAGUUCAUACCUCGGCGGCGGAGGCGAGGGCGAUCAGGAAGAGGAAGCAGAUGAGCAACGCCGGUGCCUUGGCCUUGGCCAUGUCGAUCCUGAGAGCCUACUGGAUGGACUGGACACUGGACUGGACGGACGGAUCCUGAGCGAUCGAGAUGAAGGAACAAGGGAAUAAGCUACUAGAAGAGAUGCAUGGUAAGAGAUCUAUCCGAUGAUGAUAUAUACUGUAGAUUGUUACACACGAGCUAAGAAUAGAUUAGAUUCGGUUGCCUUGCCAGAUGGAUCGGAGUUGGUUGUAGACAGGCAAAGGCAGGCUCCAAAUUAGAGCAGGUACCAUACGACUGACUAGUUCGGACUUGAGACUGCAGGGUGUUGUAAUCUCUCUGGUUUCUCUCUGCACUGCAUCUGCAUGCAACCUGCUCUGCACCGCCACAUGUAGUAAGUAAGUCUACAAUCCCAUCUGCAUGGGAGAUAUCCCUGAUCUUGUCUCGGGGUUUCGUCCGGGUCCUUAAAAUCUCAGAACGCAUUUUUAGUCCCCAAACUUAUCUCAAGACAUUAUUUGGGUCCAUAAAUUCUCAAAGUGCAUAUUGAAGCCCCAAACUUAUUCUUGGAUUUCAUCUGGGUUUCUAAACUAUCAAAAUGCAUAUUUUGAAUCUUAAAACUUGUCACAUGUCGCUGAUAGCAAUGCUUCCUCCUAGCUCGUUGCGUUCACAACCACCUUAUGCAUGCUAGUGAUCGCGCAUGUGUUGCUCGGCACUUGAUUGGGAUCUUAAAAUAGAAAAAUAAGAAUACUUGUGAGUUUGCUCUUCCUAUUUGACCAGUUCGUCACGCCAUUCCAACCAUUGUUUAAAUAGGAAACAGAGAUAGCAGAGGCGAUCCGUGAAAAUCGACCGACGACCGGUAGAGCACUUCCGUGUGUGUACUACUAUAUAUACACGGUACGGAUUCAUCUAGCAAGCAAAAGCAAGCGAUCAUGGCUUCUUUCGCAUCACCUCGCUCUCAGCUGCUCGGUGUCCUCCUCGUCACCGUCAUCACCUUCACGGCCGUCGUCGAUUCUGCCCGUGUGUCGUCGGCGCCGACGGCCUCCAAGCCGGUCGUCAAGGUAUAUCCAUCCUGCAGCAAGACGUUGAUGCCCAAGAGGUGCAGCGUCAUGCUAUCGGCCUUGUCCAAGAGCUUGGCCGAUAAUAAAGCGGCGAUUGCCGGGCCCCAGCUCGCCGCCGGCAAGUUCAAGGGCGACCCCUGCAUCUCGAGGUGCGCCAAGGUCCUCGACGCCACCACGUCCAAGGCCACCGCCGCCACGGAUGCGGGCGGUGGCGGAGAUGCGCUCUACCAGCUGAAGAACUACCUCGUCCCGCUGGUCAUCUUUGAUUUAUAUGAGAAGGCCCCUUGCGAGUGCAACUGCCCGGGGCCUUGCUCGCCCGACGAGGCCGCCGCCGUGAAGAAGCUGGGGGAGGCCACCCACGCCAUGCGCGCCAUCGUGGGCCUGAUCCACGGUAUGUCCAGCCAACUCACCGAUGAGGAGAAGAAAGCCAAGGUAGAGCCGAUGGAGAAGUCCGCGGACAGCGGCAUCCUCCACGUGUCCUGCGGGCUGACGAAAGAGCCUCAAAAGUGCGCCGACGAGCUGUCGGCGCUGGCCAAGACGAUGGAGGAGGCCAAACACGUGGUCUGGGAGCUGACGAGUUCCGACGCGGCGACUAAGCUCAGCUCGCCCAUCGCGGACUGCGAAGCUGCCAUGCGGGAGCUCGAGGAAAAGGUCUACUCGGCGGAGGAGAAGGCGGUCAACCUGGCGGAGAUACGCGGCGCCAUCCAUUCCUACGUCCAGGGCGAUGGGAAGCAGCCUCCGCGCUGCAAGUGCUCCUGCCCGCCGCCGCCGGAGAAGCCGUGCUCGGCUAACGAGACCGCCGUUGUCGACAGCCUCAAUGGCGUCUACGAUGCAUGGGUUGCCGUCGAAAAAUUCCUCACAGAAUUACUGCCUCCAAACUAAUUAAUUAUAUGGUGCAUCGCUAAUAAUACCCUAAAUGGCAAGCCUAGCAGCUGCAUGUUUCGACAGUUUCUUUUGAUAAUAACAUUUUUAAUAGUAUGUUUCUCAUUCCAUAAUUAAUGAUGUCCGCGAUCCGACACUUGCACUGUAGUUUAUGUGAGCUGAUUUCAUUUUGAUCAAUGAUAUUAUAUAUUUAUUAUUAAUGGUAUUAUUAAAGGUUUUUCUGUACGGUGAAACCAAAAACAAGCUAAGCUAACGACAUCUGAUUAUAUGUACGUGGUAGUAAUAAAUGAUAAUAUAAUUCAUCCUAACAAGUAGCAAGCAAGCAAACGAUCAUGGUUACCAUCAUCACCUUCACGGCCGUCGUCGACUCUGCCCCCAAGACGAUGAUCGAGGUAUAUCCGGAUAUACUGCCUAGCUUCAUGACGUAGGGGGUGUUUCCUAAACUUUACAUGUCACAUCGGAUGUUUGAUACUAACUAGGAGUAUUAAAUAUAGUCUAAUUACAAAACUAAUUGCACAGAUGGAGUCUAAUUUACGAGACGAAUCUAUUAAGCCUAAUUAGUCCAUGAUUUGAGAAUGUGGUGCUACAGUAACCAUUUGCUAAUAAUGGAUUAAUUAGACUUAAUAGAUUCGUCUCGCGAAUUAGUAUAGAGAUUCUGCAGUUAGUUUUAUAAUUAACUCAUAUUUAAUCCUCCUAAUUAGCGUCCGAACAUCCGAUGUAACCCUCCUAAAGUUUAGUACCUCAUAUUAAACACCCGCUUAGACCAUGUCGAAGAGCUUGGUUGAGACGAAAGCAGUAAUUGCCGGGCCCAGCUCGCCGCCGGCAAGUUCAAGAGCGCCCCCUGCAUCUCCAAGUGCGCCCAGGUCCUCGACGCCACCACGUCCAUUAUCUUUUUCUUACGAGGAUGCUUGGACCAUCGUGCUUACGGCCCACACGCACCAAGCAUCGGUCCGCCCUUGCUCUUCCUUUCCCAGGCUUCGUCCGUCGCAGUUGCUUGCAGCGACUCUCCACUUCCGAAUCGGAUCGAGGCCCUAGUUUCUCCCAGAAUCCUAAGUUGGUACUAUGCAAAAAGAAGAUUCCCCAUCAUAUCAAACUUGCGGUACAUGCAUGGAGUACUGAAUGUAGACAAAAUCAAAAACUAAUUGCACACUUUUGUUGUACUUUGCGAGACGAAUCUUUUGAGCCUAAUUAGUCAAUAUUUGGACAAUAAUUCACAAAUACAAACGAAAUGCUACAUUUGCAUUACAGUAAUUUUGGUUGUCCAAAGUUGGGCAACUAAACAAGACCCGAAUCCGCCAUGCUCCCUCCUUCCCCUCCAUCUCCAACCCAGCGAUGACCCAUCAAUGUCAAAAAGUAGCACCCUUGGUUAGACCAUGAGAUAUGUGAUAUCAGUUCACACUGUCAAAAAAAACCCUAUAAUUAGGUUAAUAAGAACAAAUUAGGUUGCAAGCAAGAUAUAGCUUACGAAGAUGACCGUGGAAUUCAACAGCGAGGACGACAGAAAACCGAUUUGUGUGAUGUCUACUCAAUAUGAACACUGGACUAAGAGGUGAUAUGUGGCCCUAUUUGGUUACAUUUGCUUAUUUUUAGCACCCGUCACAUCGAAUGUUUAGAUACUAAUUAGGAGUACUAAACGUAGACUAUUUACAAAACCUAUUAUAUAAGUGGAGGCUAAACGGCGAGACAAAUCUAUUAAGCCUAAUUAGUCCAUGAUUUGACAAUGUGUUGCUACAGUAAACAUUUGCUAAUGAUGGAUUAAUUAGGUUUAAUAGAUUCGUCUCGCCGUUUAGCCUCCACUUAUGUAAUGGAUUUUGUAAAUAGUCUACGUUUAAUACUCCUAAUUAGUAUCUAAACAUUCGAUGUGACAUGUGCUAAAAAUAAGCAAAGGGAACCAAACACCCCCAUAAAGGCACAUAAUCGAUCUCAAGCAAUAUCGCAUAGCUUUAAUUGAUCAGAGGAACGCAAAUGCUACUUGCAGAAUGUUUUCCAACAUAUAGAACCGAAGAUAUAUAGCUUAAUUUCAGCGAGCAUUUUGAAUUUCCGAUGACACAGUGACUAAUUCCUGCGGAUUGCCGCAAUCUUCCAAACAUCUACCAGUUGAAUCAUUUCACAAGUCCCAAUUAAGUGUUCAGCUCAGCGUACAUCCAAAUAUCAAGUAAUCUUGGUUCAGUGCCAAAUCUAAUGCCAAAGGAGUAACAUUUGCCUCCACUAACAGGGAGAUGCUGAGAUGCAUGGCGUAGUGUAACACCCAAAAUUUAAAAGAAUUCAAAGUCACUAAAAUUUGCUCAACUAGGAUGUCAUUUGAAUUUAUAAGCAUUUAAUUGCAUAUGUUUUUCUCUAAUUAAAAUACUUCAUCAUAGGAGUUUAUUGGGCAUUACAUGCUGGUGCAUUUAUUUUGAUUGAUUGUGUUUGAUCAAAUUCAAAUUUCAAAUUCAAAUUCUAAACUCAAAUCCCUUGUGCAAAAAGGCUUUUCCUUUUCUUUUCUUUUGGCUGCAUCCUUCCCCCCUUUCAGCCUAGCCGCCAGCUCCCUUUCGGCCCGCUCCUUUUCUCCUUGCGCAGCCCAGCACCGCCCAGCUCCCUCCGGCCCACUUUCUUUGCACCGGCCCAGCUAGCUAGCUUGCUCGCCCACUCGGCCCAGCCGCAGCCUCCCUCCCUUCUCUCUCGCUACCGCACGGGCCCGCCGGCCAGCUCCUUUCCUUGCCUUCCUUUCUUCCUCCUCCGCACCUUCCUUUUCUGCGCCACCGCCCCUUUCCUUUCUUCCACGCCCGAGCUUUCCUUCUACCCGGCACGCGCCGUCCGUAUCCGAGUUGAGGGCGGGCCGCCUCCACCCUAUAUAAGUCGCCCCCCCUGACCUCAACCAUCGAGCCGCAGCGCCACCAAACCCUAGCAGCGUCGCCGACCCGAGCUCCAGCGCCGCCGCCAGCUCGCCGCCACCAAGCACCGCCUCACGGUGAGUCUCGGUCGUCGUGAACUGCCGAAACGGGAACGCCUUGGUCUUCUCGUGCUUCUGGUGUUCUCCGCGCGUGAAACCACGGCGGGAGCUCGAUUUCGAGCAAAUCCAGCGAAGCGCCGCCGCGCCUCACCGUUCCGCCACCACUCACUGACGCUGACGUCAGCGCCACGCGCAUCCGCCGUCAAUCUUAAAUCGGACGGCCCAGAUCUGUUUUCGUCAGCUUUUAGCCGCGAGCCAAGCCGAGUCGCUCGUCUAGCUCGACUCGAGCCUAACCGUGUGAUCUUGUCCGCCCGCCACAGAUCUGACGGCUCGGGCCUUUUCGACCGAGCCGUACCGGUUCGAUUUAAGCCAUGCCGCUGUUCUUUUGCUCUUAAACCCUUGUGUUUCUCGCAAAUAAACCCGCAGUCCGCAGCAGUGUAAAAAUAUUUGCAUUCCAGUCCUGUUUUAUUCGCUUAGGCCCCCGAGCUUCUCAAAAAUCAACCCGCCGUCCAGAUUUGAGUUUUUACGCGUUCGCCCUUCAGUUUUUUGUAUAACCAUGUUUAAGCCCUCGUUUUUCACAAAUAAGCUCCUGGAAGUUUUGUUUUCUCGUAGAAAAGCUCCUGUAACUUGUUUUAAUCAUAUCUUUCGCAUCUUAACUCCGUUUUUCGCGUUCUUUAUAUCCACGUGUUCGUUUUAAAGCGUAGAUUAGUUUUUCAAGUUUGUUUUCUCUGUUUAUUAUGAUUGGUGUACUGUUUUUAUUAUUAUGCCUUUGUUUGCUUGUAUGUGCUCGUGUGACGCGUGUACGGUCCGCAAUUCAAGGGAUUUGAAGAUCAAGCUUUCGAGGAGUACGAACAGCAAGAGCAAGGCCAAGAAGGCAAGUUGUGUCCUUGAUCACUUCUAUAAGUCCUAUUCACCUUUACUUUCAUGUUCCAUACAACAUUGCUAUGCACAUAAUAGUUGUAAUCUUGAUGGGUCCUAAUUAAGGUUCGCCUAGAUUUAAUUUACCUUUGCCGACCAACCGGGUUUACUUUUAAGUUGGGUAGCUCAGGCUUAGUGCUUACUUGGGAUAUGGUGGUUUAACUGGAGGCAAUGAUUAAUCUUGCUUUACUUCUGUUAUAACUUUCAUUAAUACAAGAUCAUAAAUGUUUAAUCAGAACAUAGAGCGACCACCCAGGAAAACAGUGCUACCACAAGACGAAAUGGCUCUGAUCUUGGCUGAAUAAUUAGAAACUCUAGUUUGAAGCGGUCUUAACGAAAGGGCAAGAGGGGGAGACAGUAGUUGGUGUAUAGCACUCGCUCUCUUGGGAAGUGGGCUUUGCUAAUUCACUAUACCACUAGGGGACUGUUAUACACUGCGUUGAUCAUGAAACCUUAGCGGACCACUUCUUAUUAGGGAAUCUUUGUAAAGGUCUCGUAGUGUCCCUAUGCAAUCACACCUCGGAAGUGUGGUGUGGUGCCUUGCAAACACCGUAUGGUUGGGUCCAAAGUUCUUUUGAACUUUUACGCGACUUGUGGAUAAAGAUGUGCGACCUCUGCAGAGUGUAAAACUGAUCGAUCAGCCGUGCUCACGGUUAAGAGCGACCUGGACCCUCACAUGAUAAUACUAUCGAAAGUUGGACUUAAAUUGUUGUUAUUUCAUUCAUGCAUAUGUUGUUUACUUUUAUUUAUGUUCUUGUUUAAUUUUGGGUGGUAUAAACUUACACUUAGUCAAUUGCUAAUAAAAUUUGACCAACCUAAUUAAUUAAAAGCUGAUGCUGAUUUAGCCUUAGCCAUACCUUGAUUGGCCUUACACUACACUAUUCCCCAAUACUUGUUGAGUACCAACCAUAAGUUUACUUAUCCUUGCAAAACCACUGUUCAGACCAAGAUAAUCUGGUGGAAUACAUUGACGACUUUGAGGAGUUCUAGGCGUACGGUUCUUCAGUCAGCUGCCUGUGUUGUCAUCGUCAUCUUCGGAGUCCGCUGCGUAUUUACUCAAGUUCAUGCUUAUUUGAGACUUUCGGUCAUGUAAUAAUGUUUAAUACUCUCUUUAUUCACUUUAGCACUGUCUUUGUUAUUCACUUAUGUCGUACAUGUGUGUAACUUGAUCCUGGCGCACAUGUAUUGAAUGCACUCGAUUUUGUCCUUAAAAUCGGGUGUGACACGUAGUCCCAUACGGCAGCGGGGGACGGAGAUCUUCAACCACGGUGGAGCGCAAUGGUGCAUCCCAUCUAUCCCGCCGCUGCAUUGGCGGAGCUCUACCACCUCGUUGCUGAAUCCAAGUGCAGCCGGAGCUGAAGCAUGGAUGAGAGCGGCGGGAAGGAUGUUGAUGGCCACGAGGAGGUGCCAAGUGCCUAAGUGCGACCAGGAAAUACAAUUACGCCACCGUCGGUGGCGACGGCGGUCAGGAGAGGGAGGGGAGGAGGAUUGCUGGCGGAGAAGAAGAACCAAGUUGAAAAUUUAUGGGGGUUUUAUGUAAAUAUUUGUAUCACGGGGAAUAAUCGCGAUAUAGAUGAGGGGUAAUCUGUAUAGUUGCUUAGCCGCCGUUGGCGCUCGCCGGCGGGAGAUGUUCGUGGCACCCCGCGGCCGCAACCUUCUGCUCCUGCUGCUCGUCGCGGUCAGGGACUUUGUCGCCUCGAUCAAAUUUCUCUUCGCCGCCUCCGGCACACGCUGUUGGCCCGCUGACACAAGCUCCCCCUUCCUCGCCGGCAUCGACAAGGCGACGCCUUCCAAUCCGCAGAGCACGGCCUCCAACGCCGGCCCCUCCUUGCUUGACGGCUAGUCGGGAAAGAACAGCCGUCCUGACGACGCUACCUCUUGCUCGGGCGCGCCGCCGCCAUCAGAUAUAUCAGUGUGCUCAAGCUAGAGAUGAGCAUGAGACUGAUCAGAAGAAAGAAUGGACACUGAUGUGGAAGAGGCUCAAAGAAGUGGCUACAUGCUUCGGGAAUCAAUACCCAACCCUGAAGGAUGAUGCACUCAGGAUGAUCAAGCCAGGGAUUGGCUAGAAAGCAAACCCGCUGAUCUGUCAUAGGAAGAUUACGAACAGGAAAGGAUUUGUCUGCAUUAUUGUCUCUAGGCUAAUCUAACACAUGCUGCAAAAGACAGGUAGACUCCAAUGAAGUAACAGUGUAAAGUAUGAGCUAUGAACAUUCAGGUUAUCCGUUACUUGAUAGCUUAGGAUUUGGUUUGGCCCAUUCAAUUGGAUACAGGCCAGGCAAAGGCAUAGGUUUACUCUUACUGACCAUUCUUCUGUAAUGCUAUUGAUUAAUUUGUCUAUCAGAUCAAUCUUUCAACAUUGUGACAUUUUUUUUCCUUCUUUAAAAUUUCAAAGGAUGUAGCUGUCGUACCUCAGCACUCAGCAACUAGAAUUUCAAAGGAUGUUUGCUUCUGCAAACCCCGGCUAUCCCUUGUAAGCCAAGGACAUUGAAUGCACUUAGCAUUAUCAUGGCAACAACAAUUGUACAACAUUCUUCUUCUAAGAGUAUAAACAAGGAACUAGUUACGGAUUUCAGUUUUAUGAUUUAUUCUAAGCAUAGAACAUAAAUGUGGAAGAGCCCUUGGUUCUUGGUUUCGAUCUCACUAGUUGGAACAAUCAUGGGAAUCCUCCCACACUAACUAACAAAAAAGUUUUUUUUAUUCCUAGACUAGAAGAGGCAGGCCCGGAAAGAGGGAAGAAUUCCAUCCUGCAGCACCAGCUAUAUCUAAGCUAGGUUUAAGGGCACUUGGUGCCUCCUCUCUUGGUCUUCCAGUUGUUGUAGCAGGGGCAGGUGUCCUUGUUGCCGUAGGUGCCGGGGGGCACGCAGAGGCACUUGGCGCAGCACUUGUUGCAGAAGAAGAGGCACGGCUUCUUGUGGUGCGUCUUGGAGCAUCUCCGCCUGCACUCCCCACCGCACUCUGCAUCGAUCAGUCAGCAGGCUUUCAUUAUAAUUCACACACCAAUCCAAACAAAGAUGUUUGACUAUAUAUUUACAGCAAGCAACAAAAUACUGAACUAUCGACUGGAGGAGUAGAUCGGAAACUAAAAACAAGAGAAGCUAUGCAUGCAUGACUUACGAGAAGGCUUGAGAUUGCCCUUGCCAUCCUUGUUGUUGCCCUGCACACACACAACACACGCCAUGACACAGUUAAAGCCCAUCUGUCUAUAUACGUACUAGGUAUUCCAUUGUUUCUCUGCUGUGAUGGUAAAGAUGCAUGGGUUACCUUGUGGUUGUCGACGUCGUCACCUUUGCUGUUCAGGUCUUCACCAGCGACACCAUUACUGCCGAUGAUCUUUCAGAUCGACAACGGGCAUCAUGUGUAAACAUAUCGAAGCCGAUCGUGAAUGAUAGCUACACAGAAGGAUCGGAAAAUCCUCAAAAUUAAAGGAAAGGAUCCAUCAGCUAGUGCAUAGUUCAUACCUCGGCGGCGGAGGCGAGGGCGAUCAGGAAGAGGAAGCAGAUGAGCAACGCCGGUGCCUUGGCCUUGGCCAUGUCGAUCCUGAGAGCCUACUGGAUGGACUGGACACUGGACUGGACGGACGGAUCCUGAGCGAUCGAGAUGAAGGAACAAGGGAAUAAGCUACUAGAAGAGAUGCAUGGUAAGAGAUCUAUCCGAUGAUGAUAUAUACUGUAGAUUGUUACACACGAGCUAAGAAUAGAUUAGAUUCGGUUGCCUUGCCAGAUGGAUCGGAGUUGGUUGUAGACAGGCAAAGGCAGGCUCCAAAUUAGAGCAGGUACCAUACGACUGACUAGUUCGGACUUGAGACUGCAGGGUGUUGUAAUCUCUCUGGUUUCUCUCUGCACUGCAUCUGCAUGCAACCUGCUCUGCACCGCCACAUGUAGUAAGUAAGUCUACAAUCCCAUCUGCAUGGGAGAUAUCCCUGAUCUUGUCUCGGGGUUUCGUCCGGGUCCUUAAAAUCUCAGAACGCAUUUUUAGUCCCCAAACUUAUCUCAAGACAUUAUUUGGGUCCAUAAAUUCUCAAAGUGCAUAUUGAAGCCCCAAACUUAUUCUUGGAUUUCAUCUGGGUUUCUAAACUAUCAAAAUGCAUAUUUUGAAUCUUAAAACUUGUCACAUGUCGCUGAUAGCAAUGCUUCCUCCUAGCUCGUUGCGUUCACAACCACCUUAUGCAUGCUAGUGAUCGCGCAUGUGUUGCUCGGCACUUGAUUGGGAUCUUAAAAUAGAAAAAUAAGAAUACUUGAGUUUGCUCUUCCUAUUUGACCAGUUCGUCACGCCAUUCCAACCAUUGUUUAAAUAGGAAACAGAGAUAGCAGAGGCGAUCCGUGAAAAUCGACCGACGACCGGUAGAGCACUUCCGUGUGUGUACUACUAUAUAUACACGGUACGGAUUCAUCUAGCAAGCAAAAGCAAGCGAUCAUGGCUUCUUUCGCAUCACCUCGCUCUCAGCUGCUCGGUGUCCUCCUCGUCACCGUCAUCACCUUCACGGCCGUCGUCGAUUCUGCCCGUGUGUCGUCGGCGCCGACGGCCUCCAAGCCGGUCGUCAAGGUAUAUCCAUCCUGCAGCAAGACGUUGAUGCCCAAGAGGUGCAGCGUCAUGCUAUCGGCCUUGUCCAAGAGCUUGGCCGAUAAUAAAGCGGCGAUUGCCGGGCCCCAGCUCGCCGCCGGCAAGUUCAAGGGCGACCCCUGCAUCUCGAGGUGCGCCAAGGUCCUCGACGCCACCACGUCCAAGGCCACCGCCGCCACGGAUGCGGGCGGUGGCGGAGAUGCGCUCUACCAGCUGAAGAACUACCUCGUCCCGCUGGUCAUCUUUGAUUUAUAUGAGAAGGCCCCUUGCGAGUGCAACUGCCCGGGGCCUUGCUCGCCCGACGAGGCCGCCGCCGUGAAGAAGCUGGGGGAGGCCACCCACGCCAUGCGCGCCAUCGUGGGCCUGAUCCACGGUAUGUCCAGCCAACUCACCGAUGAGGAGAAGAAAGCCAAGGUAGAGCCGAUGGAGAAGUCCGCGGACAGCGGCAUCCUCCACGUGUCCUGCGGGCUGACGAAAGAGCCUCAAAAGUGCGCCGACGAGCUGUCGGCGCUGGCCAAGACGAUGGAGGAGGCCAAACACGUGGUCUGGGAGCUGACGAGUUCCGACGCGGCGACUAAGCUCAGCUCGCCCAUCGCGGACUGCGAAGCUGCCAUGCGGGAGCUCGAGGAAAAGGUCUACUCGGCGGAGGAGAAGGCGGUCAACCUGGCGGAGAUACGCGGCGCCAUCCAUUCCUACGUCCAGGGCGAUGGGAAGCAGCCUCCGCGCUGCAAGUGCUCCUGCCCGCCGCCGCCGGAGAAGCCGUGCUCGGCUAACGAGACCGCCGUUGUCGACAGCCUCAAUGGCGUCUACGAUGCAUGGGUUGCCGUCGAAAAAUUCCUCACAGAAUUACUGCCUCCAAACUAAUUAAUUAUAUGGUGCAUCGCUAAUAAUACCCUAAAUGGCAAGCCUAGCAGCUGCAUGUUUCGACAGUUUCUUUUGAUAAUAACAUUUUUAAUAGUAUGUUUCUCAUUCCAUAAUUAAUGAUGUCCGCGAUCCGACACUUGCACUGUAGUUUAUGUGAGCUGAUUUCAUUUUGAUCAAUGAUAUUAUAUAUUUAUUAUUAAUGGUAUUAUUAAGGUUUUUCUGUACGGUGAAACCAAAAACUGGCUUCGCACGGCUUCCACUUCUUUUUUAUCUCGCUUUUCAAAAAGACUGUCAAAAUAGAUGAAAAACCGACUUAAAAUAAGCCGUCCCCAAGUAGAUCCUGAGUGAGUGCACGCGGCUUGCAGGCCAGAUGUUAGAGCUAGUCACCUAUGAGCUGGCCAUGAAAAACGGUUUUUAAACUCUCUUGCAAGUUGCAACUAAAUAAACCAGCAAAUUCCAAUUACGUUUGCAACUAAACCCGAUUUAAAAAUUUCUUUUUAUUUGAUUUCCAUUUUUUUAAAAUACAAUGAUCCAAAGCCAUUAAAGAAACUCAGGUACCUCGGGACAUUGUUCACGGUCGUAGUCGACUUAUUAUGGACAUCACUCCUAAAACCAAAAAUGCUAUUAAUAGCCGAAUCCAUUCCAACCAUUGCUCAAAUAGAAAAGAUAGAGAGCAGAGUGAACGGACAAGCUAAGCUAACGACAUCUGAUUAUAUGUACGUGGUAGUAAUAAAUGAUAAUAUAAUUCAUCCUAACAAGUAGCAAGCAAGUUAACGAUCAUGGUUACCAUCAUCACCUUCACGGCCGUCGUCGACUCUGCCCCCAAGACGAUGAUCGAGGUAUAUCCGGAUAUACUGCCCAAGAAGUGCAGCUUCAUGAUGUAGGGGGUGUUUGGAUACACCUUCCUAAACUUUACCUAUCACAUCGGAUGUUUGGAUACUAACUAGGAGUAUUAAAUAUAGUCUAAUUACGAAACUAAUUGCACAGAUGGAGUCUAAUUCACGAGACGAAUCUAUUAAGCCUAAUUAGUCCAUGAUUUGAGAAUGUGGUGCUACAGUAACCAUUUGCUAAUAAUGGAUUAAUUAGGCUUAAUAGAUUCGUCUCGCGAAUUAGUACAGGGAUUCUGCAGUUAGUUUUAUAAUUAACUCAUAUUUAGUUCUCCUAAUUAACGUCCGAACAUCCGAUGUAACCAUUCUAAAGUUUAGUACCCCGUAUCAAACACCCGACUAGGCCAUAUCGAAGAGCUUGGCUGAGACGAAAGCAGUAAUUGCCGGGCCCAGCUCGCCGCCGGUAAGUUCAAGAGCGCCCCCUGCAUCUCCAAGUGCGCCCAGGUCCUCGACGCCACCACGUCCAUUAUCUUUUCCUUACGAGGAUGCUUGGGCCAUCGUGCUUACGGCCCACACGCACCAAGCAUCGGCCCGCCCUUGCUCUUCCUUUCCCAGGCUUCGUCCGUCGCAGUUGCUUGCAGCGACUCUCCACUUCCGAAUCAGAUCGAAUCCGCCAUGCCCCCUCCUUCCCCUCCAUCUCCAACCCAGCGAUGACCCGCGCCCCUCCAUGGCGCCCCGCGGCCGCACCCUCCUCCUCCCGCUCGCCGCCGCCACCGUACUCGUCGCCUCCACCAUCUUCCUCUUCGCCGCCGCCGCCGGCGUGCGCUGGCGCCCCGCCGACACCGGCCUCCCCGUCCCGCCCCACGCCUUCUCCGCCGCAGCUGUCCCCGUGACCGCCACCGCUUCCUCCAACACCACCCCCGGCGCCCGCAAGGAACUCUCUUUCCUUGACGAGAACGGCCACCCUGACGACCCGGGCUCGUCCUCCGGCUCGGACGCCGGCGCCGCGGGAUGCGACCCGCGCGGUGCUGCAGUCAGGGUCUUCAUGUACGACAUGCCGCCCGAGUUCCACUUCGGCCUCCUCGGCUGGUCCCCGCCCUCUCCCGACUCCGUCUGGCCGGACCUCUCCACGCCGCCGCCGCGCUACCCCGGGGGGCUCAACCAGCAGCACAGCGUCGAGUACUGGCUCACGCUCGACCUCCUCUCCUCGUCCUCCGCUCCCUGCGGCCCCGCCGUGCGGGUCGCCGACUCCCGCGACGCCGACCUCGUCUUCGUCCCCUUCUUCGCCUCCCUCAGCUACAACCGCCACUCCAGGCCCGUGCCGCCAGAGAAGGUGGCCAGGGACAAGGCACUGCAGGAGAAGCUCGUCAGGUACCUCAGUGCGCGGCCGGAGUGGAAGAGGUACGGUGGCGCCGACCACGUCAUCGUCGCGCACCACCCCAACAGCUUGCUGCAUGCCCGGGGGCCGCUAUCGCCGGCGGUCUUUGUGCUGUCAGACUUCGGGAGGUACCACCCCAGGGUGGCCAGCUUGGAGAAGGAUGUCAUUGCGCCAUACAAGCACAUGGCCAAGACGUUCGUCAAUGACUCGGCUGGGUUUGAUAACCGGCCGACAUUGUUGUACUUCCGAGGAGCCAUUUACAGGAAGGAGGUAAUGGUGCUUGCUCUCUGCUAAUCUGGCACAGUGCAUAGCAACCUUAUACACUACAUUUCUACUUGGUGCCAGUCAUAACAUAUUAUCAAUUUUUGGUGAUUAAUUUUGUUAGUUCUAUUCUAUGAGGUAAUCAUUAUGAAGCUGUCAAGUAAUUGAACAUUUUACUACUAGUACUAGUUCAGUACUGUUGCAAAAGCUUGUCUUUUGUCCUAAAGACUCCUUUUUUCUCCUAGCAAAACUUGUCAAACAUAAAUCACAUUAGGAACCAGCAAGCUGUACAGUGAGAAUAGCAUAAUUUGGAACUGGCUGAAAUUAGCUUAUGACUACAUGAUGUAGGGGUCAUGGCUCUGAUUGUUAAAAGGGGGUAUUCACAUGUAGCUAGUUUAUACCAGAUAAAUCUACAAAACUGUGAUUCUUUUUCGUCAGAGUUUCAUAAUUAUUCUGUUUCUUCAAAGUUCAUGAAUCAUGAUGUAAUUUGUGAGUUCAAAUAUUGACGUGUUAUGAUAGCAGGAGUUAUUACUAUUACGAAGUGCCACAAUUUUUGUCUAGUCUGUGCUGGUAGUAAUUACUAGUAAAGUAAACUUAUUAUCUCACCAUAAAUCAAAUGUCUCUUCUGAACAAAAAUGGAUAUAGGUUCCGUUGCUUUUUUUUUUUUUCAGAAUCUUAAAUCUUCCAUUAAAUCAUUAAGGUGGUUGGACUUAUGCAUACAAGCUCUUUCUUUAUUAAUCUGCACCUUAUUUGAACUCUUGAACCUCUGGAUGAAGUUUGUGUAAUUUGAUAAUCUUCGGUGAGGUUUACACAAGGGCACAAGGCUCUCUUGAUCUUCCAUCUUUGUCGGCACGGCUCCUGGUUUAUGUUUGUUUUCUCAAGCUAUUAAAAGACUAAAAGAUUUGCAUUUGCCCCUGUUUCAAUCCUUUGGUUUAAACAAAUGAUGUUAGUACAGGAAUAUACCAGCCACAGCCAGUUUGGUCUACAUAUGCCAAGUAUGAAGUAUCUAUGGAAAAAAAUUGUUUGUGCCACAAAAAGAAUGUGAACCUAUUCCGAUUGCUGCUAGCUAUUUGUGAUUUCCUCAUGGAAUUUAAGAACUUUCAUGGUACCAGUUUUCAGUGACCGUAGUUUAAUGACAAUUGGUGACUUUCAUAAGCUAACGUGUUGCAUCAUCCAUACCCAGGGAGGGAGCAUUCGACAGGAGCUAUAUUACAUGCUCAAAGACGAAAAGAAUGUUUAUUUUUCCUUUGGAAGUGUCCAGGACCAUGGGGCCAGCAAAGCCAGCCAAGGAAUGCACUCAUCAAAAUUUUGCCUAAACAUUGCUGGGGACACCCCUUCUUCCAAUCGUCUGUUUGAUGCGAUAGUGAGCCACUGUGUCCCUGUUAUCAUCAGUGAUGACAUUGAGCUACCUUACGAGGAUGUAUUGAAUUAUUCAAAGUUCUCCAUCUUUGUCCGGUCGUCAGAUGCUGUUAAAAAGGGUUACCUGAUGAGACUGAUUAGUGGUGUAAGCAAGCAACAAUGGACAAGGAUGUGGAAUAGGCUCAAAGAGGUGGAUAAACAUUUUGAGUAUCAGUAUCCAUCCCAGAAGGAUGAUGCAGUCCAGAUGAUCUGGCAAGCACUGGCUAGAAGGGUUCCAGCAAUUCAGCUGAAGGUGCAUAGAUCUAGUAGAUUUUCAAGAUCUGGCAGAGGAAAAUAAAUAGAAAGGGGUGUUUCUGUCUUGUCUCUGUUGGGUAAUCUAAUUUAUAUCUAACCAACAUCUCAUUGACUCAGGUUCACAGGUUUUCUCAGUUGCUUAAAACAGAUAUAUUGUAGUAUUCAGGUUAUCCUUAGAAAAUACGUGUAACUUAGGAUUUGUUAGUCCAGUUGAAGCAUAUACUGGCUGGUGAAAGGCUUGUUGUUUUUGUAAAGUGUAUUCAAUGUAAUCAUGAAAGAGAGACAUAGUUUUGCUGUUUCUGAACAUUUGGGGAUCAAACCUCAUCCUUCUGUCAUGUACUCAUGGAGCGGAUUUUAUUCUCUCUAGCUUAUUCAGUCACUAUUGCCAUGUUGCGGCUAGCAUAUGGUGGUGCUAUAAUUUCAAUCUCUAUUAUGAAGAAAUCCAGGAUAGAGCUCUAUUUGUUGAAUUUCUCGGCGUUUAUUUGUGAAGUUGCUGGUGAAUACGAGGUUUCACACUUUCGCUUCUGAAAAAUAACACUGUGAAACAGGGGUGUUAAUAAGGUUCAGAAAUUCUUGCAAACAAAUAGAUGGAAUCACUAUCAAUGUGAGAAAGUAGCACCCUUGGUUAGACAAUGAGAUGUGUGAUAUCAGUUCACACUGCCAAAAAACCCCCCCCUAUAAUUAGGUUCAUAAGAACAAAUUAGGUUGCAAGCAAGAUAUAGCUUACGAAGAUGACCGUGCAAUUCAACAGCGAGGACGAUAGAAAACCGAUUUGUCCGAUGUCUACUCAAUAUGAACAUUGGACUAAGAGGUGAUAUAAAGGCACAUAAUCGAUCUCAAGCAAUAUCGCAUAGCUUUAAUUGAUCAGAGGAACGCAAAUGCUACUUGCAGAAUGUUUCCAACAUAUAGAACCGAAGAUAUAGCUUAAUUUCAGCGAGCAUUUUGAAUUUCCGAUGACACAGUGACUAAUUCCUGUGGAUUGCCGCAAUCUUCCAAACAUCUACCAGUUGAAUCAUUUCACAAGUCCCAAGUAACAGGUUCAGCGUACAUCCAAAUAUCAAGUAAUCUUGGUUCAGUGCCAAAUCUAAUGCCAAAGUAAUAACAUUUUCCUCCACUAACAGGGAGAUGCUGAGAUGCAUGGCGUAGUCCCAUACGGCGGCGGGGGACGGAGAUCUUCAACCACGGUGGAGCGCAAUGGUGUGUCCCAUCUAUCCCACCGCUGCAUUGGCGGAGCUCUACCACCUGGUUGCUGAAUCCACGUGCCGCCGGAGCUGAAGCAUGGAUGAGAGCGGCGGAAAGGAAGUUGAUGGCCACGAGGAGGUGCCAAGUGCCUAAGUGCGACCAGGAAAUACAAUUACGCCACCGUCGGUGGCGACGGCGGCCAGGAGAGGGAGGGGGAGAAGGAUUGCUGGCGGAGAAGAAGGACCAAGUUGAAAAUUUAUGGAGGUUUUAUGUAAAUAUUUGUAUCGCGGGGAAUAAUCGCGAUACAGGGGGUAAUCUGUAUAGUUGCUCGGCCGCCGUUGGCGCUCGCCGGCGGGAGAUGUUCGUGGCGCCCCGCGGCCGCAACCUUCUGCUCCUGCUGCUCAUCGUAGUCAGGGACUUUGUCGCCUCCAUCAAAUUUCUCUUCGCCGCCUCCUGCACGCGCUGUUGGCCCACUGACACCAGUUCCCCCUUCCCCGCCGGCAUCGACAAAGAGACGCCUUCCAAUCCGCAGAGCAUGGCCUCCAACGCCGGCCCCUCCUUGCUUGACGGCUAGUCGGGAAAGAACAGCCGCCCUGACGACGCUACCUCCUUCUCGGGCGCGCCGCCACCAUCAGAUAUAUCAGUGUGCUCAAGCCAGAGAUGAGCAUGAGACUGAUCAGAAGAAAGAAUGGACACUGAUGUGGAAGAGGCUCAAAGAAGUGGCUACAUGCUUCGGGAAUCAAUACCCAACCCUGAAGGAUGAUGCACUCAGGAUGAUCAAGCCAGGGAUUGGCUAGAAAGGAAACCCGCUGAUCUGUCAUAGGAAGAUUACGAACAGGAAAGGAUUUCUCUGCAUUAUUGUCUCUAUGCUAAUCUAACACAUGCUGCAAAAGACAGGUAGACUCUAAUGAAGUAAACAGUGUAAAGUACGAGCUAUGAACAUUCAGGUUAUCCGUUACUUGAUAGCUUAGGAUUUCGUUUGUCCCAUUCAAUUGGAUACAGGCCAGGCAAAAGCAUAGGUUUACUGUUACCGACCAUUCUUCUGUAAUGCUAUUGAUUUUAAUUUGUCUGUCAGUUCAAUCUUUCAACAUUGUGACUUUUUUCUUCUUCUUUAAAAUUUCAAAGGAUGUAGCUGUUGUACCUCAGCACUCAGCAACUAGAAUUUCAAAGGAUGUUUGCUUCUGCAAACCCCAGCUAUCCCUUGUAAGCCAAGGACAUUGAAUGCACUUAGCAUUAUCAUGGCAACAACAACUGUACAACAUUCUUCUUCUAAGAGUAUAAACAAGGAACAAGUUACGGAUUUCAGUUUUAUGAUUUAUUCUAAGCAUAGAACAUAAAUGUGGAAGAGCCCUUGUUCUUGAUUUCGAUCUCACUAGUUUUAACAAUCAUGGGAAUCCUUGGGUUCGCAUGUAAAUGGUUAGCAACACAAGAUCUUUGGUUGAGAUUAUGAACAUACAAUUUGUGGAAUGCCUCACAAGUCACAAUAUAUGAAGUCAGGAUACGAAGGUUUUAGGAGUCUUGUUUUUAUUUUGAGGAGCCAAACAGCUCAAAAAAAAUGCUUACAACAAUUUUAUUUCGACAAGCAAGUUAUUUAUAGUACACAGAAAAAAGCUUCCUCAUCAUCCUUUACCUUCAAGCCAAGCACGGCUUCCUAUUCCUAAAGGUGACCCUAAUUGUAAUUCGACAGGAUGGAGGACAGGUAUAAUUGUUGCUGAAUGAACACUGGACUAAGAUGCGAUUUACAAUCUCCUCCUCCCAGACAUAAAACAAACAUAUAAUUGAGCCAAGCAGUACUGCAUCUUUGCAUCCUUUUGGCUGAUCAGAAGCCCAGGUCCUAAUAUGAAACGAGAGAGAAAUCAAAACUCAGGUUGCAGGAUGCUUCCCAACAUAUAAAAAGUGACACAUAAAAUGGCUUCUAACAGAUUCAGUCCAGUGACCAUUUCAGAAGACGCAAUCUUCCCAUCAUAAAGUAACUAAUUUUACAGUUUAAUAUUGGUUGCCGCAAAACAACUACCAGUCGUAUCAUUUCACUAGCUAAAAUUGCAGGUCAUGUCCAAAUGGACCAAACCAGUGCAAAUUCUGUUAAAGCAAACCUACCUGAUCAGCCAAAUGGAAUGCCAGAAGUGUGUAACAAUUAUCUCCGUUCACGGGGGAGCUGCAUGUCGUAGUUCCAGAAAGGCCAGAAAUAAAAUGGUGGCGCGGCGGAACAGUGCGGUGGCCACCGCGGUGCCCCAGAUCUCCGGCACGUGGUUUGUCAAGUCUGAACCAAAAGAGCAGCGCAUGGCGUAGAGGCUGGAACCUUGUUUCCAUUAUCUAAAAAAAGAGCAGUGCAUGGCGCAGGAACCUUACAUUGUCGAGCUCCGUCAGCCUCCGCACCAACGCGCCCCGUCGCCAUCGGAGGCGCAGAACUGCAGAAGGGGCGUAGGAGCGGAGCAUGGAUGGGAGCGGCGGAAAGGAAGAAGAGCACGUGGAUAUGUAGCCACGAUGAGGAGGUGCUAUGUGCGAUCGGGAAAUACUAUUCCGUCGACACCGGCGCCGUCUUCUCGCUCGUCCCCGUGAGCGCCGCAUCCAAUGCCAAGGGAAUGCCCCGAUGACGCCUCAUUCGUCUCGGCAGCUGGGAGAUGCAACCGGCGUGCGGCCUCCUUCAGGGUGAUUAUGCCAUGAAGAUUUAGUCGAUCAGAAUGAUUAGAUGUGCAAGCACUAUGCAAGAAACAAUGGACGUGGAUGCUUAAGAAGCCCAAAGAGGUGGAUAAACACUUCAAGUUGUUAUCGACCUCGAAAGGAUGAUACAGUCCAGAUGACCAGGCAAGGAUUGGCUAAAGAAGUAACGGUGAAUAACUCAAUAGAUCUUCAAUACCUGACACAGGAAUAACAUGAGGAAGGCUUUUAUCUGUCUUGUCUUUUGGCUAGUCUAGUACAUCACUCUACUGACACUAGCUUGCUUGUUUUGUAACAUAUUUUCAAGGUGAUUGUAAAAGUGGAGCACAGUUUUGCUGUUACUGAACAUUGUGAGAAGAUCAAGGUAAUAUGUUGGGCUCUCAUUCCAAUCUCUCUUGUCACGAGGUAUAGGAUAUAUAAGGUCAACGAAAUCAUUUGCAUUUUACUUUUCUUUUUAUGAAUUUCAAUGGAUUCACCUGAUGUCAUUAGCAAUUAAGUGAGAGGUGUGACUUGUGAGUGUAUGUCUGCUUCCGAAACUCAAAGAUACAGCGUCUUGAAGAGGUUACGCAGGCAAUUUGUUUGCAUCGAACAUGUUAAGAGCGCAGUGCUCCCAACACACUUUGGCACUGAGUAAGAAAUACAGCAGGCACAGAUUUCAAUGAGAAUAUGGACAAUUUGCCCACGGCUCCUAUGUUUUGCAGGUCCAAGACGAUAGCAAAUGCAAUCCAUUUAUUAAACUAAAACUUCAUUCUAGAAGGCAGCUGUAGUGUGUUCCUGGCUGACACCAGAGAAGACCUUUCUUCAAACCCUUGCAUGCCAAUCUUGCGCUUGAUGAAGGGGACUUUGUUCUGAUUUGAAAGCCACUAAUCGUCAGCAGACGGUAUACAUAAGGUGACCAUGCAAACAGACAGCAAAACUUAAUAUCAGAUUUGUCUGCCUUCUGUUGAAACAACACUGUACAAACAGGUGAAUCUUCAACCCUUGCUCCUGCCAUAAGAUGCACAAUGGUACAAUUAAUCCAUCCCAGAAGGAUGAUGCAGUCCAGAUGAUCUGGCAAGGACUGGCUAGAAGGGUGCCAGCAAUUCAGCUAAAGAUGCAUAGGUCUGGACAUCUAGUAUAUUUUCAAGAUCUGACAGAGGAAAAUAAACAGAAAGGGGGUGUGUCUGUCUUGUCCCUGUUGGCUAAUCUAAUUUAUAUCUAACGCAACAUCUCACUAACACAGGUUCCCAGUUUUUUUCGGUUGCACAAAACAGGUAGUAGAUUGUAAUAUUCAGGUUUGCCUUAGAAAAGGCGUGUAACUUAGGAUUUGCUGGACCAGUUGAAGCCUAUGCUGGCAAGUCAAAGUGUGUUUGUUUUUGUAACGUGUAAUCAAUGUAAUUAUGAAAGAGAGACAUAGUUUUGAUGUUUCUGAACAUUGUGGGAUCAAACCACAUUCUUCUGUCAUUGAGCACAAUGGUUGCUGGACCCACUGUGCCGUGCGUACCACAUGAGACUCUUAUUCUUUAGAUCUUCAUCCUCCACACCAACGCGCCCCGUGGCCGCCGGAGGCCGAGAAGGGGAGGGAGCGGAGCUGGAGCAUGGAGAGUGUGAUGGCCUCCUCGAGGUUCUAGGCGCAAGCACUAUGCAAGAAACAAUGGAAUCCAAAGUGGUGGCUAAACACUUCGAGUUCGUAUCCAUCUCGAAAGGAUGAUGCAGUCCAGAUGACCAGGCAAGGAUUGGCUAAAGGAGAAAUGGUGAUCAAUAACUCAGUAAAUCUUUAAUACAUGACACAGGAAUAACAUGAACAGGAAGGGUUAUCUGUCUUGUCUCUAGGCUAAUAAUCUCCUUACACUAGCUUGCUUGUUUUGUAACAUAUUUUCAAGGUAACUGUAAAAGAGGAGCGCUGUUUUGCUGUUACUGAACAUUGUGAACAGAUCAAACACCGUUCUUUUGCCAUGCAGGUUUUAACAUACACCGGACAGCUGGAGCUAUCGUUUCAAUCUCUCUGGUGAUCAAAUCCAAGAUACAGAAGGUGAACCAAACUAUUUACAUUUUCUUUUUUGAAUUUCAUCAGCAAUUAAUUGAGAGGUUGACUGUGAAUACAUGUUUGCUUCAGAAAAUUGGAUAUUGCGUUCAUAAAGCCCAUUAUCAUGCUAGAAGCAAUUAAGCCAAUGCAACGUGUAUCUUACGCGAAGAGGGAAAUAUGGACCUGCUUACUUUACUUUCACGUUCCAGACUAAAAGCAUACAGAAUAAAUCUGGGAAAGUCCUUCCUUCUCGCCAGCUUUAAGAAUCAUGGAAAUCAGUCAAUUCACAUGUAAAUGGAUAGCAGCACAUAUAUCUUAACAAGAAACAAGAGAUAAUGCGGAGACAAUUUGAGGAAUGAUUCAGAAUACAUGAAUCAAAACUAGAAAGGUCUUGAAGAGGUCACACAUAUUACAACAGCUCAUUUCAGCGAGCAAUUUGUUCCUGUUAACACACAAGCACUUGUCCAAGUGAGCGCAGGCUCCAAUGCCAAGACGCCUUCAUGGUCUUCAUGUCAUAGGUUUACUUGAUGAGACUGAUCAGAGAUGCAACCGUCCAAGCUAGAAACAAUGGACAUGGAUGUAGAGAAAAGCUCAAAGAGGUGGAUAAAAACUUUUCGAGUAUCGACAUUCCAUCACGGAAGGAUGAUGCGCGGAUUAUUGGGCAAGCACGGGCUAUAAAUCAGUUUGACUGAAGCCUGAAGGGGAGUAACAUUUUCAAAACCUGACGGGAGGAAAUGAACAGGUAGGUGUAUUGUCUCUAGACUAAUCUAACAAACAUUUCACAGAUAACAACACGUCUUAAUAACAAACAGGAGAGAUAAUGCAAAGAAAACUAGAGCACUGCUUCAGAUAUUAAGUCAAGAUACAACGUCUUAACGAGGUCACACAUGUUUACAAGAAUUCAUUUCAGCAAGCAAUCUGUUUGCAGUACCCAUGUUAACAGUGCAGUGCUCCUACUAACACACUGAAUCUGCACUUGCACAAAUUUCAGUGAGAAUUAUGGACAAUGUGCCCAUGGCUUCUAAGUUUUGCAGGUCAUGCAAAAACUCCAUACAUUCAACUAAAACUUCAUUCUAGAAGGCAGCAACACCCUCAUUUUUCUGUUUCAUAGAAAGCCAUCAAUGCCUAAACAUUGAUGUAGCAUCAGAAUCACAGCUGUAGUGCGUUGGUUGCCAGAAUAUUUCUGUCAAACUGCAACAUCCUCAAGACAGAAUUGCAGCAUAUCAUCCACAAGCAGCUUCAAGCCAAACAUCUUCUUGAUGCAUGGGAGAAACAUCAAAACAAAAAUGAUAAGAUCCUUGCACUGAGUUUAAAAGGAUUGAGUAUGACAAAAUUCAGAAAUACUUGACAACCUAAUAGAGGGAUACUAUGUCAACAUAUGACGUUUUGGCAGCUGUUUUCUUUGUCCAAAACUUCAAGAUCAUCAGCUUUAUCAACUGAAAAUCUUAAACUAAAAAAUUACAUCAGUUAGCCACAAGCUAACACAAAAAUGUUAAGUGGUGAGCUGUUCUAAACAACUGGUUCCUGCUCCUGGCUGACACCAAAGAAGACCUCCUUUCUUGAUGUUCCAUUCAUACGAUCCACAAGACGAUGAGCGAAGUGAACCAAUGCACUUGAUGGAUUGCAAACAGACAAAAACUGAAUAUCAUCUUUGCCUGCCUUGUGUUGAAACGACACUGGACAAACAUGUGACUUUUCAACCACUUCUCCUGUCAUAAAAUGCAGAAUGAAUGGUACAAUUAAUGUGAAUUUGUCAAGCAAUGUAGUGGAACGUUAGUAGAUCAGACAGUCCUGCACCUACAAAAAUCUAAUGUGAAAACCAUGUGCCGUGCGAGCCAAAACAUAUACAAGACUAACAUAUUCUCGUGCAUAUACUAAAUGUUUAAGCGAUUGAUGCAAUGUUAUAUGAACAAACUUAAUAUAUAAAGAGGAUUACAACGGAUAACAUAAAAGCUUAAUGUUCAUGCAAACAUGGACUAUUAGCAGUUUGCAUCCAUCAUUGUCACACAUAUUGAACUACUGAGCCCAGCAUGGUCUACAUAAAUGAUCAGAGAUGACAGAAGCAAAAUUAAGGUGGAAAAUUGAAAAGGAAGGGGCAAAUAUUGUUGGGUUUAUUGGAUUGGCAACUCAACGCUGUACACCUGUUAGUGUUAACCAUGAACAUUGGAAAACAGUGAAGGUAAAACAUAAAGACAAUCAGACCAUAAAAUCGAUUAAGUAGAAACCUAAGACAAGUCAAACAAUACAAAAAAGAACCAUUUUUUGGGCGAAAUCACACGGUUUGAAGUUUACAAGGAAAAAAAAACUGAAAGGAAACCACUGAAAGCACAAAUUUGUGAAUUGUAUGUUGUUGGGGUGAACCCGCGCGGCCAUCAUCGCGCGCGCUCCGACCGCGGGCAGUCGUCAUCGCGAGUCGCCGGCAGCAACCUCAGCGCCACCGCCGCCUCUUUACCCCAAGAACCGCGUCACCAUCCCACAAGCCCAGGAGGGCGGCGGGGGCAACACGGCCGCGGGAGAGGCGACUCCGGCCGCCGCGGCGCCGCCGGACGGCUCGCUCGGAUAAGAUCAAGUAGUGUUCGUGAGGGCCGAAACCCUAGCUUCCUCCUCCUUCCGCCAUGGCCUUUUAUCGCAAGAAGACGACGCCUUUGGGCCUUACCCACCAAAUGAAGCAUCCGAGGCCCAGUAAUAUACGGAGGAGGCCGAACCAUAUACCUCUGGCCCAUUAAUACAGCCCAGAAAUUCAAUAGGUUCACUUACGGGCCCAACAAUUCGUUUCGGACCCACAUGUCAACCUCAG
rnacentral:lncRNA from 1 species